UAAACGACGUCAACGGAUCGCCGGCGGCCAAAACCGGCUAGGAGGGGUGAUCAUCUUGUCGGGACCAUCACCGGCAACAUUAGCUCGAAUGGUCGAAAAUGGCGGCCAGAGACAGGAAAAGGAAGUAUGAAAUUAUGGAUCGAUUCGAAGGACAAAAAACACAAUCAAAACCAGCUUUUAAAUUUUUUCUUUGCCCCAGAGUGGUGUCUUGUAAUAGAUUGCUUCCCUUUUUGGUCACAAAUGUCGCCCACAACGAUGAAUUUGAGAUUUAUGUGAACUAUCCAUUUAACAUUUCAGAUCUUCUGAAUGUAUAUAACAAGAGAAAAAACAGGUUAAACUCAUGUAAGGUACUAUAUCUACCUAACCAGAUGCAUGGCAUUUCUCUAUGCAAAAGAUACCCACUGCACAAUACAGAAACCGGCAAAAAAAUGCUAGUAUCAGAUUCGUCACCCGUUCACGACACCGAGAAAAUACAAGGUAGAUUGCAGUGAUUGAUAUGCUGCAAAUAAAGGAGCAAUUUAUACAAGUUCAAUGCCAACCCAAGCUCUCCACAGCAGUAAAAGUGUCAUCUGCUUGGCCCUUUACAACACACAGAACAGGCUUCAUGGACACAUACCAUUGAACUAGGGUGACUCGCUACUGGCUGCUGGAGACCGGAGCGCCAUCUUCGCUCUGCACACCUUCAAUGGCCAGAAUUUUCUUAACAACUUGCUUGGGAAUGUCAAGGUCAUCCUGCAUGCAGCGUAGCAAGGGGUGCGAUAAGAUGAUGCAUAUCUGGCGGAACAGGACCCGGGCAAGCCCUUGGCCGCUCUCAAGAAUGUAGCCCUCGUACUGGCUGACAUGCUCAAGGGCAUCAACCAGCGAGUCAUACACGUUUUGUGGGCAGUUAUCAGCAGUAGGCUUGUCGUGCAGAUAGACUAUGUCCAUGGUGAAGUUCUUCGGCUUUACGGGCCACUGAUGGUGUGGCUUGGUUGAGGACCGGCAGUAGAUGAGUACCUGGAAUAAUCGGUUCUCUUGGAAAUCAAAACCAAGUCGCAAUCCACAAAUAACAACAGCAUGCACACACAAAGCAGUACUGUACUAUAUACGACACAUCCUAUUCGUAUUGUUAACCUUCUGUGCACAUCAACCUACUAGGCCAUUCCAGUUUAGAAUUGUACAUGCAUUUUAUACAUGUCGUGAGAUGCAGUAAGCCUUCUGACAAAAAAAAGAUCUGAAUGAUAUCAAAUCAUUCUCCACCAAAAACAGUUUAGAAUUGUACUGCUAAACUUGUACUCCCUCCGUCCCAUAAAUGUAAGAUGUUUUUUGACACUAGUGUCAAAAAACGUCUUACAUUAUGGGAUGGAGGGAGUACAUUUUGUAAGUUUUGUCAACCCUCUGUUGACACGAACCUACUAUGCCUUUUCAGUUUAGAAUUGUACUGCAUUUUAUACAUAACACAAACUACAGUGAGCCUUCUACAAAAGAAACUUCUGAAUGCUAUCAGAACAUUCUCCACCCAAAAUAGGCAGAUGGUAGGCUAGGUGAUGCAGAAAUACAGUGCAAAUGAUCUCAAAUAGUGCACAAAGCACUGGAGGCAUUGUUAUACAAAAGGAAGAUUGGCGUGGCCAUACAACAAUCAACAGAUGACCCUAGUACCUUUGAUAAGAGGUACGAGUGGGUAUCCUACCACUUUGUACACGCAGGGUCCCAUAAUGGUUGUCAACCUGUUAACUAUUUCGUCUUGGGGAUAUCAGAACUACUUAUUAAGCAGUUUAUGAUUGAUGUUUUAUGCUAUGCUAGGACAUUAGAUGACAAGUGGUGAAGUGGAAUUGUGGAUGACCAACACCAGCCUGCCCGGGACUUACAUGCCCUUGUGUCGAAACACAUUAUUACACAGCAUUGUUUAGAAAAAAACAUUGCCAUUUAUAUGUCAAUUACUGGCUUCCCACAUGCUUAGAAACAAUGCCAUUUCUGCCUGGUGGUAGGCUAGUUACAAUUACUAGCAAGACAGAAAAUGUUACCAGAAAUUAGAGCAACUUGCAGCAAGCUUACCACUCUAAGUAGUCGCCCUUGCGUUUCUGCCCUUUUCCCUUCCUCGUACGCUAUCUUGAAGAGAUGAGUGAGAUCAGCCACUGCAUAUCUCGUGUCAGUAGCAGCCAGGGACCGGAUAGUCUCAAUUGAAGAAGCAGCAUCACUGGUGAAUUCUUUGCUUAUCUUAAAUUCAGAAUAAAACAAGUCAAUCCCCAGUUCACCAUCACAUUGCAGAAAGCAAUAUAUGAGAGUAACCCACAAAGCUCAAAUCAAAGUAUCAAACUACAAACUUAACUUCAGAAUAACUAAAGGCAAUCCCUCAGUUCAUUACCACAUUGCUGAAACAACUUCUGGAAUUCAUUAACCCACAACACUAAAGGCAAACUAAAGAAUAUCAAGAAACUAGCAUAGGUUAAUCAAUAGGGAUAAUUUUGUGGGGCCAAUGUUCUGCAGUUGGGGAAAUUUUUGGGCAACUACUCAGUUUUCAUGUCCAUUUCUUCAUGUAUCCGGAUUCGGCAUUCAAAUGGGCAACAUCAUAAAUCGUUAAGCAAACAGAUCUGCAGUGAGUGGCAAAAAAUCGCACACAUGAACUGAAACGGUUAACCCUAGAAAUCAGGGGGCGUGUACCGAAGCACUCCUCGUCUGGUUAUCUACCCGAGAGAGUGAGGGGACAAGGAGGGCAGUAGAGUACUACCAAGGAGACGGUGUCGCGGAGGGAGGCGAAGGCGAAGCGGUGGUCGGGGCACAUGGUGAGCUUGCUGUGGAGGAAGAGCAUGAGGGCCUGCUUGACGGCGUCCAUCCGCCGCACCGCCGGGCGCGCGGAGCGUGGGGGCGCCGCCGGAUCCAUGAGCGCGCCGGGGCCGGGGGAGCCGGUGGAGCCGGAGGAGGCGGGGGACGCGGACGCGGACGCGGCGGCGACCUUCAUCUCGGAGCGCGCCUCGGCGUCGACGUCGACGCAGAAGAGGAUGUCCUCCAGCGGGAGGCGGCUCGGCGGCAGCGAGAACUCCGGCGAGGUCGCCGGCGCCGCCGCGGAGGAGGAGGAGGACGGCGGGACGCCGUGGCGCGGGGCGUGGUCCAUGGGGGGUGGAUGGAUGGAUGGUCGUCGGGAUCGGGAGGGGGUGGCCUCCGAAAUGCCGGACUCGAGGGCUGCUUUCACUAUUUGCUCGCUCCUUGCGACUGAAUAACCUGGUCUCAUACGAUUUUCCCCCCUCCCCCUGCAAGCUUUUGGGUAAAGCGGAAUAGAAUCGACUUGGCUUGUAAGUGGUAUAGAAAACCCAUACAUUUUCUCUCAAAUAGAAAUUAUGGGUAUGUUUAGAGCGCCGCCAAAUGAAAACAUAUGCGUGGACAAACCCGACCCGACAUAAUGGAUCGUCAUCAUUCGUCGCACUCAAGAUCACACGGUGUCUAUGACAUAAUCGUUAGUUUUAUGUCUUUGUUCACUCCUGUUUGGCGAGGCGAUUGGUUAUGAAUGACACUUGCGGCCACCCUCGACGAAUGUUAUUUUUCUCAACAGCUCUGUGGCAUCCAUGUUGGGCUAGGUUGGCUGAUGAUAGCCAUGUUCCUUGUAAUGUGUGCAGGGUUAUUUUUCCUGAUUUUUUUUACAAAUCCAGAUAAUUCUUACUACGUUCUCAAUUAAUGAAAACGGUAGGUCUCUCGCCUCAUUUAAGAAAAAUGCACAAUAUGCCUUUAUUGGUUUUGAGUAUUCUUCAAUGCAAGACUUCUAUAUGAGAAAAAUAUCUUGAUUCCGAUUUUUAUCAAAACAUGUAUAGAAGAAAUAGAAUGCACAUUGCAUAAGAAUUUAAUGUUCUUUUUCGCGAGUAUAGUUUUCGAAGGAAUACUAAUUUCAUCCCCAACCCUUUACCCUUUGUCCUACCGUUUAAGUUUAUAUCCACAUUUAACCCUUGAGUUGCCACUAUGUAUCAAAGGUUGCACAAUCUAAGUUCUCAUCUAGUUACCAGAUAUUGCACAUUAUUCUGCAAUUUAACCACUUUAAAAAAUUUAGUGAGUGGCUUACAUGCCAGAACCAUGAGGAAAAUAAAGGUUAUGGUUUUGCGGUAUAUUGUAGAAUAUAAUAUCUUUAAAUUUUCAAGAAAAUUCACUCAUUUUAUUGUUAGAAUCAGUGAGAUAAAAUCCUCUCAAUAUUAAUAGAAAUUUCAUACAAUUAUUUCUAAAAUUUGUGAUAUGCUGUUGUGACAUCUCAAACUUAAUAGGAAUGAUAGACUACUCAUAUAAACAAGGUGCACAUUUUUUCGGGAGCCCAUCAAAAAGGAAUCUCAAAGUUAAGUGUGCUUGACUUGGAGAAAUUCGCGAAUAGGUGACCGAGUGGCAAGUUGGUCCCGGGUGCGCACAAGUGAGGACAAAGUGCGGGGCCAGUCUAGAUCGCUAGCACAAUAGCCCGGAACUGAUGGAUUUGGUCAGGGCGUUACAAUUGGUAUCAACGCCGGCCCUCAUGGUUAAACGGGCGUGUGCGGGCCAAUGAUGCAUACAUGGGGCAUGUGUGGAUGGUGGCACUAACACUCACAAACCUGUGCCAAGAGAGAACGUUCUAGCUAGGCCGACGGGGACGUCGACUGCUUUGAGGGGCGUGUAUGUGACAUCCCGAAUGAUAGACUACUCUUACAAACAAGGUGCACCUUCACAAUUCGAGGAUGGGUGACCGACCGGAAAGUUGAUCUUGGGUGCGCAGGAGUGAGGAUACAGUGCACAGGAAAGACUAGUGUUGGUGUGUGGGACUAGUCUAGAUCGUUACAGGCAACCACAUGUGGCAUCUCAGUUCUGUGCCACAUGAACAUGUCAUGUGAGGCCACCCUAUCAAAUCCGGAGAAGUUUUAUAUAUCUUAUAAAUUGUGUAAUCAUGCACAAUCUGUGAACAAAAAGGCAAUCAGUCUUAAUAGGUACUCCCUCCUUAAAGAAAUAUAAGAGCGUUUAGGUCACAACUUUAGUGAUCUAAGCACUCUUAUAUUUGUUUACAAAGGGAGUAUUGUUUGACACCUUCCGAUGUUUCAUGGAUGAAAAAAAAAGAAAUUACUAAGUAAGUGUAAGAAAACAAUAGUGCCCCAGGCAUGUAGUUUGGGUGUAAAAGAGGAGUGAGGCCGGGGGACCCUCUUUCUCCUCUGUUAUUUGUCUUAGCUGCAGACUUUCUCCAGACAAUCUUGAAUAAUGCAAUGCAGAAAGAUGUUUUGGAAGCCCCAAUCACCUGUAUUGCAUGGCCUGACUUCCUCGUUCUGCAAUAUGCUGACGAUACCACAUCAUCAUGCAGGCAUGCUCAACACAACUCUAUCAGCUAAAGGGACUCAUGGUUCUCUUUUCUAAAGCAUCAGGACCGAAAGUCAAAUACCAAAAAUCCAACAUGCUUCCUAUUAAUAUUCCUAAAAAUGGCAUUCAUGCUUUGUCCCACAUUUUGGAAUGCAAGGUUGGGGCCUUCCCUUUUACUUAGUUGGGAGUGCCCCUCAGCUAUAACAAACCAAAGAUGAAUUUUUUUCAUGUAUGUUAUUGAGAGAAUUCAAGAAAAGACUAAAUUGCUCACAACACCUGAGUUAUGAUGGCAGACUACUAAUUGUUAAUGUUGUGCUUUCCUCUUAGCCCACAUUUCUCAUGAGUUUCCUGCUUCUGUACAAAGGUAUUAUUUAACAAAUUGACAAGUAUAGGAGGCACCGCUUUUGGAGAGGCAAAGAUUUGGAGAAGAAAAAUCCACCACUUGCUACCUGGGAGUUAGUUUGCAAACCAAAGGAUCAAGAUCGAUUAGGGGUGCUUAAUUUGCACACUCAGAACAUAAACCUCUUUCUUAAGAUGGUGCGCAAAUUCCUCAAUCAUUUGGAUCUCAUAUGGGUUCAUCUAAUUUGGGAAUCAUACUUACCCCAAGGCAUUACUGGUCUACCCCAGCCCACGGUUCCUUUUGGUGCAUGUCAGUGUAUAAGGAGAAGGCAGUCUGCUUGCCUGAAAAUGGCCAAACAACGGAUUUUUUUGGACUAAUCACUGCGAUGGUAUUCCCAAAUUGCAGUUAUCAUUACUAGGGAAAAGCCUAGCAGCAGCGCGGGUUUUCGGCCUUUUAGUAGCGCGGGGGCCGGCGCUACUAAUAAGGCGCUACAGCUAACGUAUAGCAGUAGCGCUGGUCCACCCGCGCUACUGCUACACAAGUGUUGCAGCAGCGCGCUUAAAGGAACCUCGCUGCUGCUAAUAGCUAUAGCACGCUUCCCCUGUGCGCGCUACUGCUAACUUUUCUCCACUCGCUACUGCUAAUUUUAUUAAUUUUUUGUUUUUUUUCGGCAUAUUUGUUUUGUAUUUGAACAGGCUUUAUAGAAGAAUCUUUAGCACAUACAAAUGUCAUCAUGAUACACAUACAAAUUCCUGCGAGACCACAAAUGUAAUCAUAGCAUAUACAUACAAAUAGUCUCGUCAUAAUCAUCAUCCAACACAAAGUGGUAUCUUGUCAUCAUCUCGAAAAUAGCGAUACAUGCAAGUCUCGAAUACUUGCAACUACAACGUCAUCCAUCUAAACAAAGGUAUACACGAGAAGAGCUAUCACUAUGAGUGAGAGCGGAACUAUGCAGUACAUGAGAUGGCGGUUACGAGUCCUCUCUCGCGCUAGCGUGAACCUGUGGUUAUUGGUGUGCUCUCGGCCGGCUCCAGACGAAUAAGAUUCUUCGUCCAUAGCAGCACCCAACCCUUGCAGCUUCCAAUCCGCGGCAGGGUCUCGUCGUCCGCUCCCACAUGCUGUACUGGAGGAGGCAAAUCCUCGUACCCCGAUUUCACACUGGACAAGCUAACCCUGAAGUGCCCAGCAGGGAUCGGCUGGUUGUGGAACGUGGAUUGCAAGGGGUCCAUUAUCAUCCCCUUUCCCACGUCCACCUUCUGGCAUUUGAUCACGUAGAGUAUGGUGCAUGGGGUUUCUUUUGCCUGCAAACACAUAUGUCUGUGGCGUAAAACAUCCGAAAGGCAACAAAAAUGGAAUAUUAUAUAUAUAUGGUGGUGCGACAUGUAAUUACCGUGAUGGCGUCGAGCUCAGCCAAAGACGAAGGCCCACUGAGCGCGCCAGAGACUGAGGACGGGCUGCUAUGAGCGGGAGCGGCUGCGAGAGGAGGCCCGGUUGCGUGGGCAAGUGAUGGUGCGAUGAUGUUGUUGUUCAUGGAGUUGCUCCCGUUGAAACUGGGCAACGGGAAAUCAUGUACCGUCUUGUCUGGAUUUUCCUUCGUCCAGUUGAUGAUAACUGGAACCAAGUUAGUACUGAAAUUAUUUCUGCAGGCAGUUACAGCUGCAUUGACUGCCUGCUGUAACAACUCAUAUUUGUCCUCGGCUGCUUUUUUCGCGUCCUCAGCUGCUUUUUUCUCGACCGCAAGCUUCACCUUCGCGUCGAUGUCCGCCUGACUAAACUUCUUUUUCUGCUUCUUGGCCUCCGGGCCCUCGUUGUAAAACACCUUCCACGUGGCGCCAUCUCCAGCGCCGUGCACACGACCAUAUUGCGGCCGCUGGCCCAAAGGGAGUCCCUUAAGUUCGUUCAAGGCUCGGUCGAGAGGGGUGUCCCACUUGGGCCUCAUCGGAGAAGUAGGGUUUUCGGCUGCAAGCUGGUGUUGCUUCUCCAGUAGUCUAAUCAAUUUCCUCGUGAUCUUGUCCAUGUAAAAAAGCUUUUUCUCCCUGUCUCACUUGUAGCGGGCCCUGAUGAAGUCAUGCUCCAAGGGGUUGGUGAACUUCGCGAAGGGGUCUGGGAGACCCGCGGCUUCACGUUCCGCGUCCUCCUUAUCCCAUAUGGGCCUUUUACCGAGGUAGCCACGGCUUUUGAGGCGAUGCUUCCCCGUGUUCCUUUGCUGAAGGCUCUUGAAUUUCGCAGCCUUAGCCUUGGCGUCCUCGGUAGCGCAAGUGUCCUUGAACUUUUCGAACUCCUCUUCCGUAAGUGUCAGAUUUUCCUCCAGAAUCUUGGACAGGGGUUCCUCAGCCUCAAUAGCUCGUUUCACCCUCGAUUUCCAGGAGGCCAAAUCAUUACUGAACAUGCCCAUGGCGUGAUUGUUAAUCUUUUUCAUCUUCGGAUCAUCCCACGGUUGUUCUAUGUUAUCAUCCCGAUCGGGGAACUUGAAUCUCUUGUGCAACUUCGUUAGGAGCAACUGCGUCAAAUGUUCUUUACUCCUUAAGUCAUCGUCAUUGAUGCUCGCACAUUCCCGUAGGAUGCAUCCUACUUGGUUCCCGUAGCACUUGCGAGGUUCUUCCGGCUCUAACGGCUCAAACUUGCCAGGUGCCAUCUUUGUGAUCACAAGUCGUCCAAUCCCUAGUUUGUUAGGUUUUUGUAUCCUCUGCUUCUUAUGCCUCUUUUCGGUACCGGCAUCGGCGCUGAUAUCUUCCCCGGCGGUACCUUUCCCACCGGUCUCGGCGCCGCCAUCGGUGCCGGCGCCGUCGGUGUCGGUGUCGGCGUCAGUACCAUCAUCGAGGCGGACCUGCAAACCUUGCUUAGCAGUCAAAAAGUCGAGGUAGUCUUGUUCACCCUCAUAAUCCAUCUCGUCUGCAUCUUGGUCAGAAGGCCCAGUUUCUUCGUUGUUUGACAUGUUUCCUAUGAUUAAGUGUCCUCAUUUAUUUCUAAAAGUAUGAAUAAAUGAGAAAUGAGAUAAAAAAGAAAUCUAUGUGCCAGCACUCGAUAUGCCAACUAUGUAGCACAAAUCAUGCCUUUAUUCACGGGAAAUUUCGGCAUGACCUUUGCUAAAAAAUGGACAUAUCGAGCGCCUGAAAUUCACCGGAAUGGAAAUGAAUCGACAUUCCGGCGUAACAUAGGCAACUCGGAUCAUUUACCAAAACAUGACAUGUCCAAAACAUGACAUAUCCACAUAUCACAUGUCCAGUUCAAAUUUGCAUAUAAAUUCAACAAAUUUUGAAACCUAUCUAAAUUCAUAACUAAAUAGAUAACCUAAUUAACAUAACUAAAACCUAAGUAAAUUAACCCUAGCUAGCAGAGAGAGAGCGGGGGGUGGUUUACAGAGGGUGCAGGGCGAGGAGGCAGGCCCGACGACGGCCGAGGUUGGGAGGGGAGGAAGAAGAGGAGGGAGGCGAGGGCCGACGGGUCGGGGGCGAGCGCCGGCGCCGGGGGCGAGCGCGUCUGGGUCGGAGGCGGCGGGGUCGGGGGCGAGCGCACCGGGGUCGGGCGCGGCGGGGUCGGGGGCGAGCGCGCUGGGGUCAGGGGCGAGCGCGCCGAGGUCGGGGGCGGGCGCAGCGGUGCGACAGGGUCGGGGAAGAGAGAGUGGGGAUUUGGGGGAAAAGAGGCGGGAUGAAGGAGGGAGAGGGAGAAUUUUGGGUUAAGUGGACGUAGCAGUAGCGCGUUUACACGAAACGCGCUACUACUAUUACGAGCAGCUAUAGCGAUUUUCUGCAGAAACCGCUACUGCUACCUUGACUAGCUGUAGCUCUUUUUCACUAAAGCGCUACUGCUAUAACCAGUUUCCCUUUUUUCUUUUCCUCAGCAUAAUAGGAACAUAUAUAUUACAUCAUUGGACCCUUGCAUAAUAAUGGCUAAGUGUGUAUACAAAAUAGGAACAUAUAUAUAUAUUACAUCAUUGGACCCAUGCAUAAUAAUGGCUAAUUAAGUGUGUAUACAAAAUAGGAACAUAUAUUUCCAUUUUGCAAAAGCAUGAAAUAUUAAUCACAUCUCUAUCUCGAGAUCGAGCACACGGUGGAGAUGAUGAUGUAGGAAGGUCAAAAGUGCACAAAGCUCUUCUUGACAAAGAAAGAUCUAGUUAGGGGGCAAAUAGGUCACUUAACUAAAUGCUACAUCUACCUAGCUAGCUAAUUUGGGAGGAGACAACUUCAACUAGUGGAGGGGGGAGGAAAAAGAGAAAGAAGAUGAAUUAAUGGAGGUGGUGUAGUUAUAGCUAGGAGUAAUGAAGAGAGAGAAAGUUAGGUAGAAGAGGGAGAGUAAUGGGGGGAGAAGUAUUGAGGAAGAAGAAGAGUGAGAGAGGGAGGAUGUGGGAGGUAGGGGAAAGGGAGGAGAGGAGAUGGGGAGGGGAGGUGGAAAAGGUGGUGGGUGCUGCGUCUUAGCAGUAGCGCGUGACAGGAAAGCGCGCUGCUGCUAAGAGCGUAGCAACAACGUGCUUUCCUGUCACGUGCUACUGCUAAACGGGCCAACCCUGUGCACAAUUUCAAAAUUAGCAGCAGCGAGGUGACAAAAAAGCGCACUGCUACUAUGGCAUUAGCAGCAGCGCGCUUCCUGGCGCCGCGCUACUGGUAAACUUAUGUCAUUGUGUACUGUCGGUGGAUUUUUGUAGCAGCGCGGUUUAAGCGUCACGUGCUACUGCUAAGUUUGCACCAGUAGCGAGCUUUCCGUAGCCGCGCUGCUACUACUUAGCAGCAGCGCCUAUUUUUAUGCCGCGCUGCUGCUAAGAUUCUGUAUAUAAGGUUUUCCCUAGUACUGUAUGACCACAUUUGCACUCCUUCUCUCAUAAUCAAACAUAUCUUUACACUCCAUUGGUCGUUUGGAGGACACAACAGACCAUUUCCAUCUUCCCCUGUUAGAGGAAGCCUUUGCCCAAUUUCAAGACAUGGCUGAUAUGCACCAAAGUCUCUCUCUCUUAAAGACUUUACCUUGUAUCUUAUUUAAAAAACAAUAAAAAUAUGCAGCAGAGUCCUGCUGUUUCCCUAAAAAAAAGUGCAAUAGAACAAGUUGCAUUUUCGGUGAAGUGAAUUUGUACACGUUGACAAGUAUAAAGUGUCGUGUGCCAAACAUUAAUCAAUCAAAAACUCUAGCGACACCUAUGAUGACACAUGCCAUCAGCACCGUCCUCUUCCCCAGCUCCUCCUAGCCCUGACCACUCCCUUAUUGGCAUAGUAAGAUGAAGGAAAUAUGCCCUAGAGGCAAUAAUAAAGUUAUUAUUUAUUUCCUUAUUUCAUGAUAAAUGUUUAUUAUUCAUGUUAGAAUUGUAUUAACCGGAAACAUAAUACAUGUGUGAAUACAUAGACAAACAGAGUGUCACUAGUAUGCCUCUACUUGACUAGCUCAUUAGUCAAAAAUGGUUAUGUUUCCUAACUGACGGUGUCCUGGACUAGGGGGUACUCACCACGUCGUCUCCCGAUCUAUUAGAUUGGGCCGAGGACCCCCGUGGCUGUAUACUCAUGGGCCAGUUCGGACGGCUACCGCAUACAAGAAAGAUUCCACAAGACUUGGUGAUCAAGACAAGGACUUCUCCCCACCGGCGUAUUCGGCUAGGACUCUUGUUAUCCUAGGCCUUCGGUGCAUUAUAUAAACCGAGGCCAGGCUAGUCGAUAGAUACACAACAACAAUCAUACCAUAGGCUAACUUCUAGGGUUUAGCCUCCUUGAUCUCGUGGUAGAUCUACUCUUGUACUACCCAUAUCAUCAAUAUUAAUCAAGCAGGAGUAGGGUAUUACCUCCAUCGAGAGGGCCCGAACCUGGGUAAAAAACAUCGUGUCCCUUGUCUCCUGUUACCAUCCGGCCUUGACGCAUAGUUCGGGACCCCCUACCCGAGAUCUGCCGGUUUUGACACCGACAUUGGUGCUUUCAUUGAGAGUUCCGCUGUGUGAUCGACAAAAGGAUCGAUGGCUCGCCUGCAGAUCAACUGUGACUUCGGUAUCUUCGUCACCAGCUCGACUGGUCACCUUGGUUCGACCAAGAAUUGUGCCCCGUGUUCGGAUCACCAUGUCCGGACAAGGGCCUUCAUCAAACAUCAACUCCGAUCUCUAUCAAGAUCACGGAGAAAUCAUCUAUGGAGCUCGGGGGCUCAACGUCAACAUUGCCCUCAAGCGACCGUGCUAUUUUUCUGGACAGCGAACUCGUAUCUGCCACCACCACCUCCUCGAGUAUCACUUUGACGAUCGCUUUGGUGGAAUUGUGCGGAAUUGAGUAUACAACAACCCUGGAAAAUUUCAUUGAGUUCCGAUGGAGGAAUCUCUGGCAAUCCAUGAUAUACCGGAGCCCUGUCAAAUCCGGACAGGAAUUUGGAUGAGUUUAGGACGUGGUGUCCAGCUUCUAGCUCGGACGUCCUUUGGAAGAUCCAACCGUUGAGCGGCUGCGGAAUUCCUAUAUCUACCACCUGUCAAAAUUUCGGCUCGAUCCGACCGUCCAAACUCCGGUAACCUUCCGAUUAGUGCAUCACUUUUCGGAUCUGUUUUCUGCGCGAAAACGAAUCCGACCCGAGUUCAUCUUUUUUAUGAACAGGAUUUCGGACAUCCCUUUUGAAGGAAGUUUUGUAUGGGGUAUUGUGUUUUGUUCCCGAACACAUCCCACUAACUGUAAGAUCUUUUGAACAUGAUCUUCAACAUCAUGCUGGUGUCAAACCAGUCCGGCAAUAUUACUCCACGACUGCCGACCUGCAUUAGACACGGCGUCACUUUGUUGAGCCGAGCUCAACUUCUUCGGAUCAUCAUCUCGGCAAGCCGAACAAGAGCUCGGCAUCGUGAAGGAUAAAUCAUCACCAACAUCGCCGCCCCACGGAUUACACGGAGCGGGCAUACCGGCAUUGCCGCACGGUCGCUUCAUCAAGCCGGCAUCGACCACGUCACGACCUGCAUCGACAUGGCCGCACUAUUGCUUCUUCAAGCUGGUGUCCAUCACGCCGACCUACUUCGACUCAUCGGCUGACAUCGAGGCUUUUCGCCAUCUCUUCAUCAACCUACUCCGGACACUUCGGCGUCACUAGCCGAUCAGCUCCGUCACAUUAGCUGGGCCGAGGGCUUUGCCUCGGCGAGUCAACCUUUACCAACAUUGCCAUGCCGUCGUUUUAUCGCCCAUCAGGCAAUGGGUGUGCGGAGCGGGUCCCAAUUUUAGGAAUCACCUUCCUUCGGAUUGCUACAACAAAUAAAUCAGGUGCUAUUAAUCCCAGUAUUUUUUGCUUGUUUGUGUUCAUUUUUCCCAAGGAAUUAUUACUCUGAUUUGUCCGUCAUAUGUACACAGGUCUAUCAAAUGGUGGCUGCAUUAACGACAGUCUAUGGUGGUUCGGUCAGUUUCCGUACAUAGUCUGGCGAACGCCGCACUCGGAGCUCGGACCGACCUGUGAAUUCAGGCUUUGCCACGCCUUUACCGCAUCACGUCGACGCCCUGCAUCGACUUGACUUCGGCGCCAGGACAUAUUUCUUUAGUACUCACUUUGCAUAAAUUAUUUAUUAUGCAACGAUUUUUGUAAUUAUCAUUAUUACUAUUAUCUCCGGUUUGCACUAUUUUUUGUGCACAGGAAAAUGAUCCGGGGACUUCGGCAUCACUCUGCCGGUCUGCAUUGAUCGUGCUAUGUCACCACUUUGGCGUGUCAAGCUCUCCGCUCCGCCACCUUGGGACCGGCUUGAGGGAUGGAACCUUGCCCCGCAUCAAGCUCGGACCGCGUCAUCAAUACCGAACACAUUAACCAGCUAAGUCGCUUUCAUGCUCAAAGCUUUAAUUUCUAACUUGCGUUCGGUUCGACCAAGCAUUAUACUUUUUUGGAAAAAAGUUGCUUCUAAAAAAUUUCCUUGUCCAAACUUUGUUUGUGACGCAUAAAUUCAAAUACCCCGUUUACUUGGGGGCUUCCUUUAUGAAGCUUUUCCUGUUGCAUAUGAUUAUACUUGUACGGCUUCGUUCCUUGUUCGUGUAUUACGCCACAAUAUGCACCACAUUGACUUAAGCGAUUUGCAAGCUGGGUUGCCUCGCUCCUGUGUUUACCCCUACGUUCCCGAUUGUUCGGCUAGGGAGUAAAGGGAGCACCUCUGUGAUUGUCACGAUCGGGUCACCCGAGCCGGACCUCAGACUGGGUGAAGCCGAAAGCUAGCGCUCUUAUAGUUAUUCAAUGAUGGUCGGCACACAACGGAACUCAUGAGUACAAAAAAUCUAUUGCACAAGUCUCAUAAUAACAAUGAGCAUCGAAGAAAGGUAUCGGUGGGGGUACUAUUUUCUUCGAAGAUGCUUCUUACUCUUCGCAGUAAUAUAGCAUAAGUUCCCUGAGCGCGCUUUGUCUGUUACAGCCUUAUGGCCUGAUUGCCUGGUUAUUGGAAACACCGUCGAUAUUCUCGACCGAUGGAGUACAUAACACUUUUCGGUCCUUAACCAAAGAGGAAGAAGCCGACGGUCGGUUAAGACGCGUUUAAAGUUCGGUUGAAUAUAGAUAUGAUAUAAGUACUUCGGUACAUGCAAUCAUUCUUCUACCCAAGUCACUUGGGGGCCCUUAAGUUUAUUUGAGCCGUUUUAUAAUAAGUGUUCUUCUUCCCAGUCGUUGCAAAGUUCUAUUAUUAUUAUUUAUCACUCCUUUUUUCGACGCGAGUGUGCAGUCACUAGCCAGGGAGCCUAAUUUCUCUCUCAAAGCCGCUAGAGUUUAGUUUGCUAAACUGGCCUAAUGAGAAGUACUCCGCCCUCGGGAUAGGAGGUUGAAGCCGUAGGCUGACCCGCUCGAAGUCUUGAGAUAGGAUGUGUCAUGUUAAAGGACGACAGAAGCACUUCUUUUUUCUAAGACCAAUUUUCGGAUUGACACCGAACACUUGAUCUUGUUCGGAUGUCAUGUUUUUACUGACGUUUCUUGGUUUUCCAAGCUUUUUGGCACUUUUAAACUAUUUGUGCUUUUCCAGCAUUAGUCUCGCAGUGCAACGCCGGACACCUUUAGGGAUUCGGCAAAAACAUUCUCAGAUAUUGCUAUAUAUGCAUCGGUUUCGAAUUGUGUCUUCGGUCAAUAGUUGGGUUGCCCGGCUCCUGCACUUGCUUCCUACGUUCCGUUUUGUUCGGCUAGGCAUGCAAAGGGAGAACCACUACGAUUGUGCUUCCAGCUCACAUGGUUAAGCACCUUAGUGGAGAAAGCCGAAAACUGACUGUCACAAUAAGCGUAAACUGGUCAGCGAUCCGAUGACUAUGACGGGCCAUUCAUAACAUUGGCCGAAGUGUUUACGGCUUGACCUCGACUGUCGCUGAACACUACCGGGGGCUAUUAACUGGCCUCCCAAACUAAAUCCUCGAUAUUUUUCUCUUACAUUCGAGCCGAGGUUUCAUGAUCAUGCUUAGCAUGACAGCCCAAAGAAAGAAACCGAUAGCGGGACUAUUUUCUUUGGAAUACAUUUUUUCUGUUAAACAAUAAUAUAACAUAUCUUUUUGCGUACCUUUGUUUAUAAAACCGUGUGGCCAGAUUGCCUUGUUUGUCGUAAAUCUUUGCCCUCAUAAAGGCUCUAUAAAGUAGGACAAACACUCCUCGGCUACUGGCCAAGGAGGUGGAAGCCGAUGGUCGGUCAACAAAGUUUUGUACAAUGCGGAUCUGAGCAUUAAUGACGUAAAGUACUUGGAUACAUAGAGUCAUUACACAUAAUUUGUGAUUUUACUAUGGAUAUUGAUCCUUAAUUCGGCCACCCGUGCCCGCAUUAAGGCUCGGGGGCUACUGGGCUUCGGGCUUAUUAUUUACAAAUAUUAAAGGGGCACAUCGAUCCCCUGAUCUGGUGUUGCCACCCGACCAGUGUCUCGGGGGCUACUGCAUUGCUUGUCCAAUGCAGAAAAUUUUAUGUGCAAUAUAGUUUCCAAGGAGAUUUUGAUCCUCAGGUUGGUCGGCCGCACCCAACCCGAGUCUUGAGGACUGAGCACGCCGCUUUUGUGUCCCGAAGUAUUCUGCCGAGCUAGGACUUGAUCCUCAGGCCGAUUUUGCAAAUCAACCUGAGUCUCAGCGGCUACUGGGAUCAGCGGUCUUAUGUCAUCCUUCAUGUGCAUCUCGGGUUUUAGACCGAUACAUACCUUGAGGGCUACUGGCUAUAUAUCUCGGCAGAGAAUAAAUUGCACCAAUAAAAAAUAUUAACAAAAAAUCAGCCCAUAGUCGGGGUGGUGCACCACCUCGGAAGCAGUCCGACAUAAAGCUCGGGCGCUAGUGGCUGGCUCCAUAGAGGGCAUUUCCGGCAUUAAGCUCGGCUAAACUCCUUCAACUUUUUUGAACCAAGGUGAUAUGACACCUCGGAUAUAGUCCGGCAUUGGAGCCUGGACACAGUCCGGUGUUGGAGCUCGGAUAUAUUUCGGCGUUGGAGCUCGGAUAUACAGUUCGGCGUUGGAGCUCGGAUACAUAGUCCGACGAUGGAGCUCGGAUACAUUCCGGCGCUAGAGCUGGGAAGCGGUCCGGCGUUGGUGCUCGGCUGCAAAAGAUACCUCGAAUGCAGUCCGGCAUUGGAGCUCGGACGCAAGAGGACCCUGCCUCCCGGGAACAACUUCAAACCCGAGGUGUGGCAUAAAAAUAAACAAGGCAUUGAUAAAGGCCGGAAACUUAAAGGGGCUCCUCGGAUACCCGACGUGUAAACUCGUCGAAUGCAUUUCGGCGAUCCUCAAGAUCAAAGAUAAAGAAGAUUUGUUGAACCAGUUUUCAAGACCGGCAAUCGAAGAUAAAGAAUAGUUCGGAAGAAUCGAGGAGCGUCCCUAACUUGAAGACCGGUUCAGGGGGCUACUGACGGUGUCCUGGACUAGGGGGUACUCACCACGUCGUCUCCCGAUCUAUUAGAUUGGGCCGAGGACCCCCAUGGCCGUAUACUUAUGGCCCAGUUCGGACGGCUACCGCAUACAAGGAAGAUUCCACAAGACUUGGUGAUCAAGACAAGGACUUCUCCCCACCGGCGUAUUCGGCUAGGACUCUUGUUAUCCUAGGCCUCCGGUGCAUUAUAUAAACCGAGGCCAGGCUAGUCGAUAGAUACACAACAACAAUCAUACCAUAGGCUAACUUCUAGGGUUUAGCCUCCUUGAUCUCGUGGUAGAUCUACUCUUGUACUACCCAUAUCAUCAAUAUUAAUCAAGCAGGAGUAGGGUAUUACCUCCAUCGAGAGGGCCCGAACCUGGGUAAAAAACAUCGUGUCCCUUGUCUCCUGUUACCAUCCGGCCUUGACGCAUAGUUCGGGUCCCCCUACCCGAGAUCCGCCGGUUUUGACACCGACACUAACCAUAGACAAAGAGUUGUUAUUUGAUUAACGGGAUCACAUCAUUAGGAGAAUGGUGUGAUUGACUUGACCCAUUGCAUUAGCUUAGCACUCGAUCGUUUAGUAUGUUGCUAUUGCUUUCUUCAUGACUUAUACAUGUUCCUAUGACUAUGAGAUUAUGCAACUCCCGUUUACCGGAGGAACACUUUGUGUGCUACCAAACGUCACAACGUAACUGGGUGAUUAUAAAGGAGCUCUACAGGUGUCUCCAAAGGUACAUGUUGGGUUGGCGUAUUUCGAGAUUAGAAUUUGUCACUCCGAUUAUCGGAGAGGUAUCUCUGGGCCCUCUCGGUAAUGCACAUCACCUAAGCCUUGCAAGCAAUGCAACUAAAUGAGUUAGUUGCGAGAUGAUGUAUUACGGAACGAGCAAAGAGACUUGCCGGUAAUGAGAUUGAACUAGGUAUUGAUAUACUGAUGAUCGAAUCUCGGGCAAGUCACAUACCGAUGACAAAGGGAACAACGUAUGUUGUUAUGCGGUCUGACUGAUAAAGAUCUUCGUAGAAUAUGUGGGAGCCAAUAUGAGCAUCCAGGUUCCGCUAUUGGUUAUUGACCAAAGACAUGUCUCGGUCAUGUCUACAUUGUUCUCGAACCCGUAGGGUCCGCACGCUUAAGGUUUCGAUGACAGUUAUAUUAUGAGUUUAUGAGUUUUGAUGUAACGAAGUUGGUUCGGAGUCCCGGAUAUGAUCGCGGACAUAACGAGGAGUCUCGAAAUGGUCGAGACAUAAAGAUUGAUAUAUUGGACAGCUAUAUUCGGACACCGGAAGUGUUCCGAGGAAGUUCCGGAUAAAACCAGAGUACCGGGGGGUUACCGGAACCCCCCGGGGGGUUAAUGGGCCUCAUGGGCCUAAAGUGGAGAAGAGGAGGGGCUGCCAGGGCAGGCCGCGCGCCCCCUCUCCCCCUAGUCCGAAUUGGACAAGGAGGAAGGGGCGGCGCCCCCCUUUCCUUCCUCUCCUCUCUCCCUUCCUCCCCCUCUCCUACUUGGACAAGGAAAGGGAGGGGAGUCCUACUCCCGGUAGGAGUAGGACUCCUCCUGCGCGCCUCCUACUAGGGCCGGCCGCACCCCCCUUGGCUCCUUUAUAUAUGGAGGCAGGGGGCACCCCUAGACACACAAGUUGAUCCACGUGAUCGUUUUCUUAGCCGUGUGCGGUGCCCCCUUCCACCAUAAUCCUCGAUAAUAGUGUAGUGGUGCUUAGGCGAAGCCCUGCGACAGUUGAACAUCAAGAUCGUCACCACGCCGUCGUGCUGACGGAACUCUUCCCCGACACUUUGCUGGAUCGGAGUCCGGGGAUCGUCAUCGAGCUGAACGUGUGCUGAAACUCGGAGGUGCCGUAGUUUCGAUGCUUGGAUCGGUCGGAUCGUGAAGACGUACGACUACAUCAACCGCGUUGAUAUAACGCUUCCGCUGUCGGUCUACAAGGGUACGUAGAUCACACUCUCCCCUUGUUGCUAUGCAUCACCAUGAUCUUGCGUGUGCGUAGGAAUUUUUUUGAAAUUACUACGUUCCCCAACAGUGGCACCCGAGCCUAGGUUUUAUGUGUUGAUGUUAUUUGCAUGAGUAGUCACAAGUGAGUUGUGGGCGAUAUAAGUCAUACUUCUUACCAGCAUGUCAUACUUUGGUUCAGCGGUAUUGUUGGACGAAGCGGCCCGGACCGACAUUACGCGUACGCUUACGCGAGACCGGUUCUCCCGACGUGCUUUGCACAAAGGUGGCUAGCGGGUGUCAGUUUCUCCAACUUUAGUUGAACCGAGUGUGGCUACGCCCGGUCCUUGCGAAGGUUAAAACAGCACCAACUUGACAAACUAUCGUUGUGGUUUUGAUGCGUAGGUAAGAUUGGUUCUUGCUUAAGCCCGUAGCAGCCACGUAAAACUUGCAACAACAAAGUAGAGGAUGUCUAACUUGUUUUUGCAGGGCAUGUUGUGAUGUGAUAUGGUCAAGACAUGAUACUAAAUUUUAUUGUAUGAGAUGAUCAUGUUUUGUAACCGAGUUAUCGGCAACUGGCAGGAGCCAUAUGGUUGUCGCUUUAUUGUAUGCAAUGCAACUGCGCUGUAAUGCUUUACUUUAUCACUAAGCGGUAGCGAUAGUCGUGGAAGCAUAAGAUUGGCGAGACGACAACGAUGCUACGAUGGUGAUCAAGAUGUCGCGCCGGCGAUGAUGGUGAUCAUGACGGUACUUCGGAGAUGGAGAUCACAAGUACAAGAAGAUGAUGGCCAUAUCAUAUCACUUAUAUUGAUUGCAUGUGAUGUUUAUCUUUUAUGCAUCUUAUCUUGCUUUGAUUGACAGUAGCAUUAUAAGAUGAUCUCUCACUAAAUUUCAAGAUAAAAGUGUUCUCCCUGAGUAUGCACCGUUGCCAAAGUUCGUCAUGCCCAGACACCACGUGAUGAUCGGGUGUGAUAAGCUCUACGUCCAUCUACAACGGGUGCAAGCCAGUUUUGCACACGCAGAAUACUCAGGUUAAACUUGACGAGCCUAGCAUAUGCAGAUAUGGCCUCGGAACACUGAGACCGAAAGGUCGAGCGUGAAUCAUAUAGUAGAUAUGAUCAACAUAGCGAUGUUCACCAUUGAAAACUACUCCAUUUCACGUGAUGAUCGGUUAUGGUUUAGUUGAUUUGGAUCACGUAAUCACUUAGAAGAUUAGAGGGAUGUCUUUCUAAGUGGGAGUUCUUAAGUAAUAUGAUUAAUUGAACUUAAAUUUAUCAUGAACUUAGUACCUGAUAGUAUCUUGCUUGUUUAUGUUUGAUUGUAGAUAGAUGGCCCGUGCUGUUGUUCCGUUGAAUUUUAAUGCGUUCCUUGAGAAAGCAAAGUUGAAAGAUGAUGGUAGCAAUUGCACGGACUAGGUCCGUAACUUGAGGAUUAUCCUCAUUGCUGCACAGAAGAAUUACGUCCUGGAAGCACCGCUGGGUGCCAGGCCUGCUGCUGGAGCAACACCAGAUGUUACGAACGUCUGGCAGAGCAAAACUGAUGACUACUUGAUAGUUCAGUGUGCCAUGCUUUACGGCUUAGAAUCGGGACUUCAACGACGUUUUGAACGUCAUGGAGCAUAUGAGAUGUUCCAGGAGUUGAAGUUAAUAUUUCAAGCAAAUGCCCGGAUUGAGAGAUAUGAAGUCCCCAAUAAGUUCUAUAGCUGCAAGAUGAAGGAGAACAGUUCUGUCAGUGACCAUAUACUCAAAAUGUCUGGGUAUAAUAAUCACUUGAUUCAAUUGGGAGUUAAUCUUCCAGAUGAUUGCGUCAUUGACAGAAUUCUCCAAUCACUGCCACCUAGCUACAAGAGCUUCGUGAUGAACUAUAAUAUGCAAGGGAUGAAUAAGACUAUUCCCGAGCUCUUCGCAAUGCUAAAAGCUGCGGAGGUAGAAAUCAAAAAGGAGCAUCAAGUGUUGAUGGUCAACAAGACCACUAGUUUCAAGAAAAAGGGCAAAGGGAAGAAGAAGGGGAACUUCAAAAAGAACAGCAAGCAAGUUGUUGCUCAAGAGAAGAAACCCAAAUCUGGACCUAAGCCUGAAACUGAGUGCUUCUACUGCAAGCAGACUGGUCACUAGAAGCGGAACUGCCCGAAGUAUUUGGCGGAUAAGAAGGAUGGCAAGGUGAACAAAGGUAUAUGUGAUAUACAUGUUAUUGAUGUGUACCUUACUAGAGCUUGCAGUAGCACCUGGGUAUUCGAUACUGGUUCUGUUGCUAAUAUUUGCAACUCGAAACAAGGACUAUUGAUUAAGCGAACACUGACAAAGGACGAGGUGACGAUGCGCAUGGGAAAUGGUUCCAAAGUCGAUGUGAUCGCGGUCGGCACGCUACCUCUACAUCUACCAUCGGGAUUAGUAUUAGACCUAAAUAAUUGUUAUUUGGUGCCAGUGUUGAGCAUGAACAUUAUAUCUGGAUCUUGUUUGAUGCGAGACGGUUAUUCAUUUAAAUCAGAGAGUAAUGGUUGUUCUAUUUAUAUGAGUAAUAUCUUUUAUGGUCAUGCACCCUUGAAGAGUGGUCUAUUUUUGAUGAAUCUCGAUAGUAGUGAUACACAUAUUCAUAAUGUUGAAGCCAAAAGAUGCAGAGUUGAUAAUGAUAGUGCAACUUAUUUGUGGCACUGCCGUUUAGGUCAUAUCGGUGUAAAACGCAUGAAGAAACUCCAUAUUGAUGGACUUUUGGAACCACUUGAUUAUGAAUCACUUGGUACUUGCGAACCGUGCCUCAUGGGCAAGAUGACUAAAACACCGUUCUCCGGUACUAUGGAGAGAGCAACAGAUUUGUUGGAAAUUAUACAUACAGAUGUAUGUGUUCCAUUGAAUGUUGAAGCUCGUGGCAGAUAUCGUUAUUUUCUCACCUUCACAGAUGAUUUAAGCAGAUAUGGGUAUAUCUACUUAAUGAAACAUAAGUCUGAAACAUUUGAAAAGUUCAAAGAAUUUCAGAGUGAAGUUGAAAAUCAUCAUAGCAAGAAAAUAAAGUUUCUACGAUCUGAUCGUGGAGGAGAAUAUUUGAGUUACGAGUUUGGUCUACAUUUGAAACAAUGCGGAAUAGUUUCGCAACUCACGCCACCUGGAACACCAUAGCGUAAUGGUGUGUCCGAACAUCAUAAUCGUACUUUACUUGAUAUGGUACGAUCUAUGAUGUCUCUUACAGAUUUACCGCUAUCGUUUUGGGGUUAUGCUCUAGAGACAGCCGCAUUCACAUUAAAUAGGGCACCAUCAAAAUCCGUUGAGACGACACCUUAUGAACUGUGGUUUGGUAAGAAACCAAAGUUGUCGUUUCUAAAAGUUUGGGGCUGCGAUGCUUAUGUGAAGAAACUUCAACCUGAUAAGCUCGAACCCAAAUAGGAGAAAUGUGUCUUCAUAGGAUACCCAAAAGAGACUAUUGGGUACACCUUCUAUCACAGAUCCGAAGGCAAGACAUUUGUCGCUAAGAAUGGAUCCUUUCUGGAGAAGGAGUUUCUCUCAAAAGAAGUGAGUGGGACGAAAGUAGAACUUGAUGAGGUAACUGUACCUGCUCCCUUAUUGGAAAGUAGUACAUCGCAGAAACAGGUUUCUGUGACACCUACACCAAUUAGUGAGGAAGCUAAUGAUAAUGAUCAUGAAACUUCAGAACAAGUUACUACUGAACCUUGUAGAUCAACCAUAGUAAGAUCCGCACCAGAGUGGUACGGUAAUCCUGUUCUGGAAGUCAUGCUACUAGAUCAUGAUGAACCUACGAAGUAUGAAGAAGCAAUGGUGAGCCCAGAUUCCGCAAAAUGGCUCGAAGCCAUGAAAUCUGAGAUGGGAUCCAUGUAUGAAUACAAAGUAUGGACUUUGGUUAACUUGCCCAAUGAUCGGCAAGCAAUUGAGAAUAAAUGGAUCUUCAAGAAGAAGAAUAACGCUGACGAUAAUGUUACUGUCUACAAAGCUCGACUUGUCGCAAAAGGUUGUCGACAAGUUCAAGGGAUUGACUACGAUGAGACCUUCUCACCCGUAGCGAUGGUUAAGUCUGUCCGAAUCAUGUUAGCAAUUGCCGCAUUUUAUGAUUAUGAAAUUUGGCAGAUGGAUGUCAAAACUGCAUUCCUGAAUGGAUUUCUGGAAGAAGAGUUGUAUAUGAUGCAGCCGGAAGGUUUUGUCGAUCCAAAGGGAGCUAACAAAGUGUGCAAGCUCCAGCGAUCCAUUUAUGGACUGGUGCAAGCCUCUCGGAGUUGGAAUAAACGCUUUGAUAGUGUGAUCAAAGCAUUUGGUUUUGUACAGACUUUUGGAGAAGCCUGUAUUUACAAGAAAGUGAGUGGGAGCUCUGUAGCAUUUCUGAUAUUAUAUGUAGAUGACAUAUUACUAAUCGGAAAUGAUAUAGAAUUUCUGGAUAGCAUAAAGGGAUACUUGAAUAAGAGUUUUUCAAUGAAAGACCUCGGUGAAGCUGCUUACAUAUUAGGCAUUAAGAUCUAUAGAGAUAGAUCAAGACGCUUAAUUGGACUUUCACAAAGCACAUACCUUGACAAAGUUUUGAAAAAGUUCAAAGUGGAUCAAGCAAAGAAAGGAUUCUUGCCUGUGUUACAAGGUGUGAAAUUGAGUAAGACUCAAUGCCCGACCAAUACAGAAGAUAGAGAGAAAAUGAAAGAUGUUCCCUAUGCUUCGGCCAUAGGCUCUAUCAUGUAUGCAAUGCUGUGUACCAGACCUGAUGUGUGUCUUGCUAUAAGUCUAGCAGGGAGGUACCAAAGUAAUCCAGGAGUGGAUCACUGGACAGUGGUCAAGAACAUCCUGAAAUACCUGAAAAGGACUAAGGAUAUGUUUCUCAUAUAUGGAGGUGAAAAAGAGCUCGUCGUAAAUGAUUACAUUGAUGCAAGCUUUGACACUGAUCCGGACGAUUCUAAGUCGCAAACCGGAUACGUAUUUACAUUAAAUGGUGGAGCUGUCAGUUGGUGCAGUUCUAAACAAACCGUUGUGGCAGGAUCUACAUUUGAAGCGGAGUACAUAGCUGCUUCAGAAGCAGCAAACGAAGGAGUCUGGAUGAAGGAGUUCAUAUCCGAUCUAGGUGUCAUACCUAGUGCAUCGGGUCGACUGAAAAUCUUUUGUGACAAUACUGGUGCAAUUGCCUUGGCAAAGGAAUCCAGAUUUCACAAGAGAACCAAGUACAUCAAGAGAUGCUUCAAUUCCAUCCGGGAUCUAGUCCAGGUGGGAGACAUAGAGAUUUGCAAGAUACAUACGGAUCUGAAUGUUGCAGACCCAUUGACUAAGCCUCUUCCACGAGCAAAACAUGAUCAGCACCAAAGCUCCAUGGGUGUUAGAAUCAUUACUGUGUAAUCUAGAUUAUUGACUCUAGUGCAAGUGGAAGACUGAAGGAAAUAUGCCCUAGAGGCAAUAAUAAAGUUAUUAUUUAUUUCCUUAUUUCAUGAUAAAUGUUUAUUAUUCAUGCUAGAAUUGUAUUAACCGGAAACAUAAUACAUGUGUGAAUACAUAGACAAACAGAGUGUCACUAGUAUGCCUCUACUUGACUAGCUCGUUAAUCAAAGAUGGUUAUGUUUCCUAACCAUAGACAAAGAGUUGUUAUUUGAUUAACGGGAUCACAUCAUUAGGAGAAUGGUGUGAUUGACUUGACCCAUUCCGUUAGCUUAGCACUCGAUCGUUUAGUAUGUUGCUAUUGCUUUCUUCAUGACUUAUACAUGUUCCUAUGACUAUGAGAUUAUGCAACUCCCGUUUACCGGAGGAACACUUUGUGUGCUACCAAACGUCACAACGUAACUGGGUGAUUAUAAAGGAGCUCUACAGGUGUCUCCAAAGGUACAUGUUGGGUUGGCGUAUUUCGAGAUUAGAAUUUGUCACUCCGAUUGUCGGAGAGGUAUCUCUGGGCCCUCUCGGUAAUGCACAUCACCUAAGCCUUGCAAGCAAUGCAACUAAAUGAGUUAGUUGCAAGAUGAUGUAUUACGGAACGAGUAAAGAGACUUGGCGAUAACGAGAUUGAACUAGGUAUUGAUAUACCGACGAUCGAAUCUCGGGCAAGUAACAUACCGAUGACAAAGGGAACAACAUAUGUUGUUAUGCGGUCUGACCGAUAAAGAUCUUCGUAGAAUAUGUGGGAGCCAAUAUGAGCAUCCAGGUUCCGCUAUUGGUUAUUGACCGGAGACAUGUCUCGGUCAUGUCUACAUUGUUCUCAAACCCGUAGGGUCCGCACGCUUAAGGUUUCGAUGACAGUUAUAUUAUGAGUUUAUGAGUUUUGAUGUACCGAAGUUGGUUCGGAGUCCCGGAUAUGAUCGCGGACAUAAUGAGGAGUCUCGAAAUGGUCGAGACAUAAAGAUUGAUAUAUUGGACGGCUAUAUUCGGACACCGGAAGUGUUUCGGGGAAGUUUCGGAUAAAACCGGAGUACCGGGGGGUUACUGGAACCCCCGGGGGGUUAAUGGGCCUCAUGGGCCUAAAGUGGAGAAGAGGAGGGGCUGCCAGGGCAGGCCGCGCACCCCCUCUCCCCCUAGUCCAAAUUGGACAAGGAGGGAGGGGCGGCGCCCCCCCUUCCUUCCUCUCCUCUCUCCCUUCCUUCCCCCUCUCCUACUUGGACAAGGAAAGGGAGGGGAGUCCUACUCCCGGUAGGAGUAGGACUCCUCCUGCGCGCCUCCUACUAGGGCCGGCCGCACCCCCCUUGGCUCCUUUAUAUACGGAGGCAGGGGGCACCCCUAGACACACAAGUUGAUCCACGUGAUCGUUUUCUUAGCCGUGUGCGGUGCCCCCUUUCACCAUAAUCCUCGAUAAUACUGUAGUGGUGCUUAUGCGAAGCCCUGCGAUAGUUGAACAUCAAGAUCGUCACCACGCCGUCGUGCUGACGGAACUCUUCCCCGACACUUUGCUGGAUCAGAGUCCGGGGAUCGUCAUUGAGCUGAACGUGUGCUGAAACUCGGAGGUGCCAUAGUUUCGGUGCUUGGAUCGGUCGGAUCGUGAAGACGUACGACUACAUCAACCGCGUUGAUAUAACGCUUCCGCUGUCGGUCUACAAGGGUACGUAGAUCACACUCUCCCCUCGUUGCUAUGCAUCACUAUGAUCUUGCGUGUGCGUAGGAAUUUUUUUGAAAUUACUACGUUCCCCAACAUAAGACGCCACCAAGCAGAGCCUUUGUGGCUGGCAUCGGUGUCGGGGCUUUCUUGUCCACCUAUAGUUUUGAUCUGCAAUGGCUUGGGACGCGGCGGUGUGGCACUCGGUGCGGCAAUGGUUGUGAGGUGACAGUUGGUACACGAGGUUGGGCAACAAGCAGGCCGGGCCCAAACCUAGUAGUCCACUGGCAACAGGAGCCACAUUGGCGGCCGGGAGUUCGCCGUCACGCAAUUGCGACUUAGGUUUUCGAUCAUUGAUGAUGACGAUUGUGGCUCCCAUAGUGGUACGAGCUACAUUCUUCGAUGUCUCUUGUAACACAACAUUGUUCCUAUUAGUUCAACAAUGUGGUGACCUCUCUGCCCGAAGGCAUGUGCAAUAUCGUGCAUGGUUCUAGCCAAGAGCACACCUAUCAGCAAUUUUUUUAGCACGACCCCCUAGUUCCCCCGUCUCCUGCAAGCACGGUUUGCUAGGUCAUGAUAAGUUAUCAAGAUCAAAAUUGGAUCAUGCACCCGGUGGUCCUUAUGUGUUCCUCAACAUCGUAUCCGAGAUUUUAAUAGAUAAUUUAGAAAUGGAUGGCUGCCCUGGGAUGUUUGGUAUCUGGUGUGAAUCUAUGAGUAUAACGUUGCAUCAACCUUCGGUGAAAACCUAGACCUAGGAUUCUAGUGAUGCGUGCGUCUUUGGGCAUCACUCUCUCCUUUCUUGAGAGGGGUCCUAUUGAGGUUCUAGAAAAGCUGCCACUUUGGGUCCUUUUCGCGUGGGGGAGGGGGUAAAAACCUAUGAACUACUUAUGGCAGUUCAGGCAACGCCGGUAGAUGCGUCAAUUCGUAUCUUCAUUUCUUCAUUGGAGGCAUCGUUCCGGAACGUGCGAAUUUGCCAUGAUUCUAAGAGGGGUGUAGGUCGUGCCUCCAUCGAAGACAAUUGUUAUAAAUCUCUUGUGUUGGUCCACGUGUGACCGUGUGCAUUCUCCGUGCCUUGUCAUCGUGUUGUUGCUGAAUCCCGUGUGACGUUUUGAUAAUCUCGUCAUUUCAAAAAACAAAAAAAAUAGACCAAUGAGAACCCUGGAAAUUUCCCCCAAUUGUACUUGCAUGGAUGAAGCAGGUAGUAGCUGUGGAAGCAUCAAGAGCAUUGUAAAAUUGAAGCAUACCCCUUAUUGUGUUUAUUAGGAUGAUCAACAUUUGCAGUCAGAAAAAUAUAGAAUAUGUAAUGUAAUUAUCACCAACACAAACCGCACCCCCCUCACUUGGUUCGAAAGAUCAACCGAUCACCCAUGCAUUCAUCCCGAAAUCCGCCGAAAACAAGAAGAUGAUCAAAUGCACGUACGCCCACGACGCCACACCACACGACGGAUGCAGCCCUUCAUCACCACUAGCAUAGCAGACAGCUUCUUCCUCCUACGCACGACGUAUCACGUAUGUAUGUACUGUAUGUAGCUUCCUUGCUCAAGAUUUAGAGUAGGAUUGCAUUGGGGGAGGCUCGGGCAGGGGCUGGUGGACGGAGAAGGAGUUGGAGCGGGACACGGGCCGGGAGUAGCUGGGCCGGCGGAAGGCGCCGAAGGUCAUCUCGUCCGCGGCGUCGGCGGCCGCGUCGGGGUCGGCGGCCUCGGCGUCCCUCUCGCCGGGGAUCUUGCACUUGCCGCCGAGGAUGAUGGACUUCUUCCACAGCGUGUCCUCGGGGUCGUCCUUCUCCUUGUGGCGCGGCUCCAGCUUGCUCAGCUUCAUCUUGUCCGGGAUGUUGGCGAGGCUCUUGCCCACUUUCAUGGACAUGCUCUUGCCCACGCCCAUGGACAUGGACACGGACAGCUUCCGCCGCGACGCCGUCUUCGGCAGCAGCGGCGGCUCGAUCGGCCCGUGCGUGGCCAGCUCCGGCGGCAGCGUCACCACCUCCUCCUCCCCUUCCGCGCCGCCCUGGCUCCCGGAGGCGUCGGAGGCCUGGGCGUCCGCGGCGGGCUCCUGGCUGACCGCCUUGGGCUUGCGGCCGCACGCCGAGCACAUGGUCGAGGCGAUCGCCACGGUGGCCGCGACGCACGCCACCAACAGGGAGAGCGAGACGGGGUCGUGGCCGCCCAGAGAGGGGAAGGGGAAAAGCUCGAGGUCCCGCGGCGGCGGCGGCGACCACCUCACCAUCGUCGUCCCCGGCGGGGCGAGGAGAGGCUUGCUCGGGGGUGUGGACGAGCUCCUCCUCCUCCUCCGCCCGAGAGAGGCUGCUGCUCGUCGGAGGCGUCCUCUCUUUCCCGCGGGGAGCAAAGCCUCCCGUUUCCAAAUUGGGAAGAAGGGCUGUGUGGCCGAGGGAUUGUACUGGUUUGCCUCUUAAACUGGGCAAAACUAAUUUUAGAGAUAAAAACACAACCCAAACAUGUUUGAGAAAAAUAGGGCUUGCACCGGUGUAAUCUAUUUUAUCAACUUAGCCAUAAUUAUAGGCAAGUACACAACUUACCACACUACUGGAGAAAUUGUGGUGGUUACCGAGUUUUUUCAUGUUUGCCGAGUACGGAUCUCGGCGGGAUCGCGGCAAAUGAUAUGUAAGCCGAGUACGGAUCUCGACAGACAGAAUGGCACAUCACAUGGUAAACUAAAUUAGAGUAUUAGACACUAGGACCGAGAAUGUUGAGUGCCGAGUUACUCUCGUCACAUAGCCUGAUUGAUGGGAGUGCACGAAAUUUAUUGGGUCAAGAGUUUAUGAAUUUACUACUCCAUCCGUCCCAUAAUAUAAUUAAAAACACUUUUGGCACUAGUAUAGUGUUAAAACGUUCUUUUAUAUUUUGAGACAGAGGAAGUAGUUGAAACUAGGCUUUGUCCUGUCAUCCUCAACAGAUGUACGGCCUCUCUUCCAAAUUAAUUUCGAGUUUAUCCUACAAACUUGUAUUGGUUUGAUCAAGUCCAUAGAAACAUCUAGAACCAAAUUAGUACUAUGAGAUUUCUUUUAUUAAAUAUGUUUUCAUCAUAGAGUUGGUCGAACCUAAGCAAGUUUGAUUUAGAACAAACCUAGAAUUUCGAUUAUUUUGGAACGGAGGGAAUAUGCACCUCUUUUGCUCUCUUCGAGUCCGAGGUAGCCAAGUGGAAUAUCAUUAUGGCGCUAACAAGGAGCAGUAUUAGAAGCUAUAAGAUUAAUCUCUAUCGCACGAUCCUUCAACCUCUUCUAGCUCCUUUGACAAGGCAAAACGGGCUUCACCUUCAGUUACUGGAUUCAUAAUUAUUUUGGUGACAUAAUUAUUUUGGUGCCCACUUGCCAAAACAAGAAAUACACGCACAACCUGAGGUGCCGCCUCAUUUUCAGAUAUGUCUUACAACGGAUCGGCAAAGAGCAUGCACAUAAUUUGGAUUUCCUUCCAUUAUUUGACGAAUAUAAUAAAAAAAGACAGGCAUAUCAGCCUAUAGAAGUAUAGAUGGAUCAUCUACGCGUUGUGAUGUGAACUUCAAGCUUCAUUCCACCCUCACAGUCUCCAGGUUUGCUGCUGAUGGCGUACAUCGGGCCUUGGCUACCGAGCUCGAGCUUGUCGUAGCCAGAGGUAUAUGUAUCGUCCCCGACAGCACCGGCCCUGCAGAGGAACUCCUCAUCUUUAUUCACCACCACCACGUUAUGCAUCUUGGGAUUAUACUUGAACACUGCAUCAAUGGGAACACGGUCAGUUCCAUACACUCCUUAUUGCUUAGCAUUAAACCAGGGCCUAGUAAUUAAAGAACAAGCUUAUGGAUCUUAUAACAAGGGCCUAUUGAUUAGUGUGUCAUGUGCUCUAAUAAUGCAUCGUUCGUCUGACAAUUUCUCCCGUGACUAAAAUUUCAAAUUACGCAGUGAUCUAGAACAAGAUCGAUAUCUCAUGGCUAGGACUCCAGAUGCUAUGGCGAUACAAAUUAUUUCCAUCACGUGAAACGUAUAUAAUAUAACAUUUCAUACUUUGAAACAAACAUUCAUGUGCAUCAGAACUAACGAUUAUCUACCAUACCCACCAAGCACGUCACCAGGGUAGAAGGUCUUGUUCCUCUCCCAGCCAUGAACACCAAAGGUCCACCCCUUCCAACCUCCGACUAUCCACUCCGUCUUGCUAAAACCACUGGUUGCGAAGCACAGGGUUAGCACCAACCCAAGAGCAACGGCGCCACUGCUGCUCAUGCUUCUACCUAGUGCCAUUGCCGCUUUUUUCACUACUAAAGCUCACAACUGAUUUUGAUUUGCGUUGGUGGGGAAGGGAAACCCACCAUUUAAAGGCUCCUGGUCAAGGUUCAGUGUCACUCAUGCAAUAUUUGAAAUUAACCACUCCCUCCGUUCCAAAUUACUCGUCGCAGAAAUGAAUGUAUCUAGAUACAUCCAUAUCUGUGACAAGUAAUUCAGAACGGAGGGAGUACUAAUUAAGAAGUAAAGACAUUUACUUCUGAUUUGUUCCAAGAUACAAGAGCUAGUAUAUAUCUAGGAAAAUCUGCAUUUAAUUUUCUGCGCAUUUAAUUUUUAUAUUUCAAGAUCAUAUAUACUCCAGUAAAUGUGAGUGAGUAAUAUUUCAAGAGUAUAAUUUUUAAGAUAUAUACAAAGUAAAUGUAAGAUAUUUUAUUAUUUCUAGUAAAUGCGAGUGAGUAAAUUUCAUAUUCAACCACACCUCUCCUUUUGUGAGGUCCAUUUACUAUGAGAUAUGUUUAAAAAAAUGUUAUUUCGAAUUGUUUUCUCUUAUUGCAUUAGAUAUAUUGAGUAAUUCCAAGGGAUGGAAAGAUUAGGCUAUACACCUUCAAAGAUAAAUUUAAUCCUUUUAACAGGCUACACGUAUAAAUAGUCUCGUAUUGUAGUUUGCAACUGUGGUCAAAAGGAAGAUCAAGGACGCCUCUCGUUUUCCUCCCCUAACCUUAGGCGGCUAGCGCAAACUCUCCCCACCAAGCUUCACUGGCGAGCCCGUGGAUUCGCCUUCCCUCUGUCUGCCACUCCGGUGGCCAAUGGCGGGAAGGGAAUCCCGGUGCCUCCGCUCCGGUUAGUAGUUUAGGUUAGGUUUUUUUAGUCCUCACAUGUGCGACUCUCGGGCGAAUGUUGGCGCUUCUUCCUUGAGUUUGUCUUCCAGCCUUCGAUCCUCCUCGCGUUCGUCCGGCUAGAUGUAGUCGACGAAGCUCGGACGUAGAUUCCUGACGUCUCCUUGGGAGACUGGGGUUAGGGUUUCUUGUCAUAUGACGAGAUUUGAUGUCAGAUGCUUCAGAUCUAUGCAAGGGUUUAACAACGACGAUUGUGGCUCUAGGGCGCUUGUCCUUAGGGGCACGUGCACGAUGACUUCCCAGUUGUCAUCAAUAAAAUCAAGCCGGCUUUGGUAGGGGAGCGCCGACAAGAUUGCGUCAAGUACUCGUUUAGACUGUAAUAGUGGUCGUUUGGUGAUCUCAGAAUCUCGAUGUAAACUCAUAAAAAAAGAUGAUAAAACAUGAUGGCUAUAUCUCGCAUUCAGCGAGACGGUAGAUAUCUUGCUGAAGCGGCUACGGUAAUCUGGCCGGCCCAUUGGCGCACAGUUAAAGAAAAAAGCAAGGGAAAGGGGAAUAUCCUAUUUGACGCAUUUUGCGUCAAACUGUCGACGCGCCGCACACCCCUUCGCCUGAUUUGGGCCGGCCUUUUUAGUACCUGUUCGUUGUUUCCCCGUUCCUCUUCCUCGAGUCAUUGUUUCCCCGUUCCUCUUCCUCGUCCCGCAUCUCCCGUCUUCUUCCUCCCUCGUCCCGCAUCCGCCGUGCUCUUCCUCCCUCGUCCCGCAUCCCACUUCCUCCCUCUUCGUCUGCUUUUUCCUGCGGGGAUCCCGCUCCGAUAAGAGGCCGCCGCCCUGGUAAGCAGCCGACGGACCUCUUUCCCGUCGAAUCGUCCGAGGCAUCGUCGAUUAGAUCUGGCGGACGUCAUCAUGAUGGAUGCUUUUUUGCAGGUGGUCACUGCUUCCUCGUCGGCGUCGGCGUCGUCUAGGGUUCCAUCAAGAUCGGGUCGUCUAGGGUUCCAUCGAUCUUCGUCAAGUUCGUCAUCUUCAAGGUAAUGCCCCCAGUUCCCUCUUCUGUGUUCUUGUCAAGCUGGUUCGUGUCCUCUGUGUGUGAUUUCGCCAGAUCGAGACGUUUUUUUCCCGUUUGUGUCGGUCCAGCGUUUCUAGGGUUUGUAGGAGGUUUGGUGGUAGCAGUGGAGCGAUUUUUUCAGUCUGAUUUGGGUGAAUAUGAGGCUAGACAAGGUCCCUUUGGAGCGAUUUUUUCAGUUUGGUUUCCCGGAUGUGAUUCAGAAUUUGGAAUCAGGUUAUGAAUGCAGCAUAAUGAUGGUAGGAGGUUGUCUGUUUCAUGCGGUUGCCCUUGGAAAUUUUGUGUUUGUGUUUAUGUUGAUGAUGAUAGGACACUUGUUAGUUUCUGUAAUGUGUAAAUUUGUUUGAACAUUGUGUGUUCACUCAAAUGAUUGUUCUUGUACUACAUCACAUCUAAAUUUUAUAACAUCAAUUUUUUUUGAACUUUUUGACAUGGAUGAACAUUUUCUGAAAUUGAGGAUCAAAAAAUGUUCGCCAAUUUGAAAAAGUGUUCUAGAAAAAUUCAGAAAAUAAAAUAAUGUGAAUUGUUUAGAAAAUUUAGAAAAACAAGGAAACAGAAGAGGAAGAAAAUAAAAUUUAGAAAAUAAAUUUUAGAAAAAUUGGGUGUUAGGACUACAUAUCCUUCUUGCAUUGGAAUUAGUCCUUCAUCACUUCUGCUUUCUUGGCAAUCAGUUGGCAUCUUCUGCUUUUUGUGUAUAAUGUAACUAUGAGUGAUACUAUGUACUUCUCUUUUGUUUUGCAGAAUUAAUUUUUGUUUCAGCAGCUUACAUUUACAUGAACUGUUUUUUUAUACCUGAAAUUUCAGCACCUUACUUUUUAUUAUUUUUAUACAGCUCUCACUCAACUGUCAAAAUGCCUAAACUUUACAAAUACCCUCCGGGUAGUAUCAAACACAGAUUCUCUACCAUUAGGUGGCGUAAGGCAGUUGUUGAUUUAACUGAUAUCCAGAAGUCAUAUGUUACGAAAUAUGAGCUUGAUCAUCUCCUGAACAUUCACCCUCAUUUAAUGAUUCCAAUUCCAGUACUGCAAUGGGUUGCGAACCACUUAAAUUGUAAUGGAACAGGAGUUUUCAGGAAGGGUCAAAAGAUAAUUCAUCUGAGAAGGGAAAUGGUAAUUCAAGUUUUUGGUAUUCGUUCUAGUUCUGUGCCUUUUCCUAUGGACAACACAGAUCAAGUUAUCGUGGCUAGAGUAUUAGAACUUAGGUCUGAGUAUCUUGGUGCUGGGGAGAAGAACAUUUCAUUUGAUAACAUAAUCACCAAGAUGAAAAAUGAUGAGACUGAGGAAGGCUUCAUACGGAGCUUCAUGUUUCUGUUCAUAACAUCUGUUUUAUGUCCAACCACUCGGAACUAUGCAAACUGGAAACUUCUUUAUGGGCUGGAUGGCAUUACCAAGCUGAAGACCUUUGAUUUGGCUCAGUUGUGCAUUGAUCACCUGAACAAUGAAAUUGAUAACUUCAGCACUAAACUCUUCAAUAGAACUGAAGUUCCAUUGAAUGAUUCAAUCUAUGUUGGUGGAUGUUUACCGUUGGCUGCUGUAAGUUUUCUUUUCUCUGUCAUUUUCAAUUUUUUACAUAGACUUUAGUUCUGCAAUCUUUUUUUUAUAGUCACUGAUUACCUCUUAUAUCUUCUCUUAUGAUUCACAACCUUCCUAGAUUGUGUAUCUGGACUUUGUAGACUUCACAAAAGCUUCUAAACAAUGAAACAUCAAUUAUGGAGUCCCUAGAAUUGCACAUGUUCAGAAUGAAGACUUUGACUAUCUAGCUACAGUGGAUCUGAACAGAGCUUCCAAGAAGAGUUUUGCAUUGGGUUUCUUACCAGUAAGCUUCUUGUAUAAAUUUGUUGUUGUUCAUUUUUCAAGUUAGCAAAAAGUUUUUUCUUCUACAAGCAAUCUAGAAGGAGCAAAUCUUGUCAUUUAUAAUCCUUUUCAAUUGCAAUUUUUUGUGCAGUUGAAAGACAUCUCUAGGACACCUUACAGUGCUCGUGCAAUUGUAUUGGCUGAGGAGAAGUGGUCCAAAGCACCAGAGUCUUUUCAUAAUGAUGAAAAUGACAUUCCAAACCAAAAUGACAGAGAAAAUGUUGCAUCUACUUCGAACAACAAUCCAGAAGUAUGUUGGCCUGCUUUUUUUCUUUUCUUAAUAGAUAUUAGUGUUGUCACUUUACUUUCAUACCAGAAACUAAUACACAUAUAUUUGUUCUGUUUGCUCAAACUAAUAGGUUAUGAAGACAGUCUCUGAAAUAGUUGCAAAACAUGAUGUCAUUUGGAAGAAGUUCCAUGAAGAGCAUGUACAGAGUAUGCUAGCAGAACUCAAAGCAACUGUCCUGUCUUUACAGCAAAAUUCUAGCAGCCAAGUCAAUGAUGCUGGCACUUCAACCACGAAUCCAAUUGUUCUUCUAUCUGGAGCCAGCAACAGAAAUGUUCUUAGAGAACCAUUAAAUCCUGGCAAUUGCACACUCCAAGUUAACAGUGAGGCAAUUACAGGUUCUUUAUUUGACGACCAUAUCAGAGUCAUUCCUACUCCAGUUGUUACCAAUGAUAACCAAGUUCAAAUUUCUGAUGAAGUUCAAAAGCAAGUGUCAUUACCUCAGCAAUUCCAGGAAAAUGAGCAAGCACAAACAGAUGUGGACAAUGAUAUUCAUUCUGAUAACACAUUUGGUCAACAUUUUUUCUUUUACUCAAACUAGUCAUAGCACUCAAUUUGUUGUUCAUGAGGCAGUUUUAUUAGUACUCAGUUUCCUGUUCCUGACAUCACUAUUAUGGUAAAUACAUUCAUUCUGUAAACACAUUCUGACAUCACUAUUUUUUGCCAUUUUCAGGUACCGUUUCUGAGGCAGUUCAUACUAAAUCAACUGGAUUCCUGGAACCACUGGAUUCUGUUCAUCCUACAAGUGUUACUGAAGCAAAUCAGAUAGAUUCUCAAAAUGUCAACUCUGUGACAGUAAAUCUGCAGGAAACUCCUCUUACUGGAAACUCAUUUUCUGUGAGAGAAAAUGUUCAGUUACUGAAUGAGCAAAAGCCAGGUGAUGUUAGACCUGCCAGUCAGACACCAAACAAUGAAUCAUCUUCCUGUCCCAUCUCUCCUUUUCUAGUUCAGAACAAUCCUAGUCUCGAGAUCAUAUUGUCUCCUUCGAGCAACAUUAUAAUUGAAGAUGCCUCCACGCCAACAAAUCUGAAUUCACAAUCAAUUGACAAUGUUGCAACUGGCAUUGAAAUUGCCAUGAAGUAUGGAGAUGAUUUAUUAGUCGAAGAAGUUGUCAAGUCUGUUCCCAAAGGUAACUCAAAACAUUUUUUUAUCAUCUCCCCAUCCUGCUGUUCCAUUGUUUUGCUUUUUGCUUCACUGAUUUUGUUCUUGCAAUGCCCUGUCUUUUUUUAUAUGUUUCAUUGUGUUGUCAGCACAAUACUUAUUAUAUGCAACUGCUUAAUUGGACAGAUCCUCUAGUACCUGAGAAGCAGUCAUCUGAUGUUACACUAAACAUGUCUGGUCCAAGCACAAUAGAGAAGAGAAAUAGAAAGAAAAGGAAAGCAAAAAGUAAUAUCUCCUCAGGAAAAGAUUUCAAAGAUGAUUGUUGAACCUCAUGUUCAGGAGUUCUAUAAGAAAUACCUUGCAAACAAAUUCUUCAAUAAUGGCAAUAAGUAAGUCAUUUCAAUGUGCAAACUAAUUUUUUCAAUAUCAUGCAUUCUUCUUUUUUGUACAAUUUGUUCAAUAAGCGUUUCUAUUCUUUUUUAUCGUGCAGUCCAACUGUUAUUGAUAUCAAUGGCUUUCCUGUGGAGUAUGAUAAUUUCUAUAAUUCAUUAAAGGCAAUAGGAAAUGUUGAUAAUGAAGUAUUCAAUGCCUAUGUCCAAGUUUUCAAUUAUGAGAAUGAAAAUCCAGACCCAAAUAGCAAGAACCCUUCAAAAUAUUGCUUUAAUAGCUAUUUCACGGUAAUUCUCUAUUCCUCAUCUAUGUUUCUUUUUGUUCACGAUACACUCAUGGAAGUUAUGUUUCUUGGUGUUAUGAUCUGUUUUUUAAUUUAACUUUGCAGCAAAAGGUGCUUGUAGACCCCAAAAUCUUCAAUUCUCGGUCUUGCCUAAGAGAAUUCAAGAAAAUUACCUCUGGAAAGAACUUGCAUAAGCGUGAUCUGGUAAACAACUUUUAUCAUCACAAUUAUUUCUCUUUUUUUUGCAUUCUAUCUCAUCUUAUCUGUUUUUUCUACUUUUUUUUGCCAUCCAGCUAUACUUCCCCAGAGUUGACUCAUUCCACUGGUCUUUGUUCUGCGUCAACAAUUUGUUUGAAACUAUCAAUUUCUUUGAUUCAAGAUCUUCUGUUCCUCAAAAUCUUGUCAACAAGUUAACGUCAAACCUGGUUUGUUUUCUUCCUUUACUUUUAACUUCUUUCGCUUUGUAACAUAAUCUGUUUUUACUGCUAACUGCCCUGUAAGCUUCUGUAUGUUUAGGCAUUCAACAAAAAUUAAGUACCCUUUUCUUAUUGAAGUUCUGUGGUUGUUGAACUCUACUACUUUUCAAUAUAGAUCAUCAACAUGGCUACCCUCUUCAAAUCUUCUGGGUACACAUACAAAAACAUCGAAAAUUUUGAGUGCAUUUCUCUUGAGGACUACCCCCAGCAAAACAACCUGUGAGUAAAACAAAAGCAUCAUUGUAGAGAAUCCACUCUUUUCUGUUAAACUCUUUUAUUCACUUGAAUUUUUUUAAACAAGUUUCUUUUACUGAAUUUUAAAAUUCUUGUGCAGCCACAAUUGUGCUCUGUAUGCUAUCAUGUACAUGGAUAUCUGGGAUGGGAAGAACAUGAAGGAAUUUGAUGAUGUAUGUUGCCAUGAAAUUGUUCUUCCUCCAUACUUGCUCUAUGUUUAGUUUCCAGCACUUCUCUUUUGUCAUGCCUAAUGUGUUGUUCACCUUUUCAUUUGUAUCAGGAAAUUAUUCCUCAAUUUCGGUAGCUCGUUGCUUACAAAUUGGCAAAGUCUGACAUCAAUGAAGAAGACUUCGAGUGACUUCAAGAAGAUGUUUCAGGCAAGAAGAGGAAAAAGCGCCGUUAGUUCCGUGCAGAAAGAAAACACUUCCAGCUUCUAAAAUUGAUCUCUGUCCAAUUGCGCCAUGAAUGAAACAGAAGUAGUUGUAAAGUCAGUUGUCUCUUAUUUGAAAAACUUUUUAAGUACCGCUCUUUUCUCUUGUUGUGGAAAUAAGUCUUCCCCAGUAUGACCAGAAAACUACAAUUAUUAUGAGGAGAAUAUUCCCAACAAUUUAAAAUUUUCCUCUGGGUUUCGACUAAAUGAUUUUCCCAAUAGUUUAAUACAUUUAUCGGAAUCGUGUCACCAACAUCUCUUCUUUCAUAUAUGUGUUUGGUGCUCAUAGUUGUUUUCAAGUUUUUUGAUAUCUGGAUCAAACAUAAGUUUAUAGAAGGAAACACAAUGUGAUGAACAAAACAAUGCUGAUACAAUUUUUGGUCUUCCUUAGGACAGACUUCCCAAAGAACACUGAAGAAGUGUUCACUACAAUUUGAAUAAUGUUCUUUUUCCUGUUUUAAUAAUGUUAACAAAGAUUCACAAAAUUUGGUCCGCUUCUCGACCUCGUUCCUAGGAAAUUUUGUUCCAAGGAACAUUAUUCAAUUAUCAUUUUGUUCCUAGAAAUCUUUUUUGGCUUGAAGAACAUUUUUUUACUUCAGAAAACAUUAAGUAAUGUUGGAGAACUUUUUUAAUUUUUUUACUAAGAACAUUAUUUUAGGGAACAAUAUUCAGUGAACAUUUUUUAUUCAAAUUGUAGUGAACACUUCUCCAAAAUUAAAUUGGUCAACGAACGAACAAUAUUCAACAAACAUUAUUCAUUAUUCAACAAAUAUUAUUCAACGAACAAACAGUAUUCAACAAACAUUAUUCAAUUAUUAAAGAAAAUUUAUUUAGGCAACAUUCCUCCGCAUCAAACAAUAAAUGUAGUAAAAAAUUCCUAAAAAAGGGUGAACAAAAAAUUCCGCAUCAAACAAUAAUAUUCCUAGGAACGAACGAACGAAAUAAAUGUAGUAAAAAAUUUCCUCCAAGCAAAUUUUGUUCACCCUUUUGUUAGAAGGAACAUUAUUCGGUUAUCAUUUUUUUAUAGAAUAUUGAUUGUUCGCCUAAUAAUGUUCCUUCAAUAAUCUCCCCCAAAUAAAUGUUGAUUUUUCUUUUUGUUACCCUAUUUUCCCUAAUUAAUGUUCCUUCAAUAAUGUUCCUCAAAUAAUGUUCAAACUUUUUGGUUCCCCCAAUAAUGUUCUCUAAACAAUUUUAUUCCUUCAAUAAUGUUUCUCAAAUAAUGUACAAACUUUUUUGUUCCCCCAAUAAUGUUCUCUAAAUAAUUUUAUCUUUUAAUAAUGGUGCUCAAUUGUGUUCAAUAAUUGUUCUUUUAAGAAUGUUCCACAAAUAAUUUUCCCCAAACAAUGUUGAAAGUUUUUUUUUUCACAAUAAUGUUCUCUUAAUGUCCUCUAAUAAUGUUCCCAAGAUAAUGUUCAAACUUUUUGUCCCCCUAAAAUGUUCCCUGAUUAUUGUUAUGUUCGGCAAGUAAUGUUCAAACUUUUUUGUUCCUCCAAUAAUGUUCUCCUAACAAUGUUCUCUAAUAAUGUUCCCAAGAUAAAGUUGACCAAAUAAUGUUAUGUGAAGUCCCUAAAUAAUUUUGUCUUUAAUAAUUGUGUUCAAUAAUUGUUCUUUUAAUACUGUUCCACAAAUAAUGUUCAAUUUUUUUCCCAAUGUUGUUCUAUACUAAUGUUCAAAUUUUUUUGUUCCUCCAAUAAUGUUCUCUGAACAAUGUUCUCUAAUAAUGUUCCCACGACAAAUAAAUUUGUCUUUAAUAAUUAUGUUAAAAAAUUGUUCUUUUAAUAUUGUUCCACAAAUAAUGUUCCCCAAAUAAUGUUCUAUUUUUUUCAAAUAAUGUCCUCUUGUUCUCUAAUAAUGUUCAAACUUUUUUGUUCCCCCAAUAAUAUUCCCAAAUUAAUGUUUGUCUUUUAAUGUUCCUCAAAUAAUUAUUAAUUCUAACAAUUUUUUUUUACUUGAAGAACAUUUUUAAACUUCAAAGAAUUUAUAAGGAACAAAUUACUGAUUUUCUUGGAACAUUAUUCAGGAAAUAUUAUACAAAGAACAUUUUUAUAUUGAAGAGUUUGAACAUUGUUGACCUGAUUAUCAUUAUAGUAGAAACAUCCCUCCAAGGAAAUUUUGUUGACCCGAACAAUAAAUUCAGUGUUCCCAAAGAACACUGAAGAAGUGUUUACUACAAUUUGAAUAAUGUUCUUUUUCCUGUUUUAAUAAUGUUAACAAAGAUUCACAAAAUUUGGUCCGCUUCUCGAUCUCGUUCCUAGGAAAUUUUGUUCCAAGGAACAUUAUUCAAUUAUCAUUUUGUUCCUAGAAAUCUUUUUUGGCUUGAAGAACAUUUUUUUACUUCAGAGAACAUUAAGUAAUGUUGGAGAACUUUUUUAAUUUUUUUACUAAGAACAUUAUUUUAGGGAACAAUAUUCAGUGAACAUUUUUUUAUUAAAAUUGUAGUGAACACUUCUGCAAAAUUAAAUUGGUCAACGAACGAACAGUAUUCAACAAACAUUAUUCAUUAUUCAACAAACAUUAUUCAACGAAUGAACAGUAUUCAACAAACAUUAUUCAAUUAUUAAAGAAAAUUUAUUUAGGCAACAUUCCUCCGCAUUAAACAAUAAAUGUAGUAAAAAAUUCCUAAAAAAGGGUGAACAAAAAAUUCCACAUCAAACAAUAAUAUUCCUAGGAACGAACGAACAAAAUAAAUGUAGUAAAAAAUUUCCUCCAAGCAAAUUUUGUUCACCCUUUUGUUAGAAGGAACAUUAUUCGGUUAUCAUUUUUUUAUAGAAUAUUGAUUGUUCGCCUAAUAAUGUAAGCUCACCACUUUUUAUGAUAGUUUUAGAAGUACCAGUUGAGAAUAAAUGGAACCAGCAACCAUUGUUUAGUAAAUUCAAGGUUUUUCUGUUUCAUGUUUCUUUGGGAGACAGUUGAAACAGUGGAACAGUAGAAACUAUACCAUUCUUUAAUUUACUACCAUUGUUGAAACAGCAGAAAGAGAAGAAACAUAAGAAACAAUGGAACCAUUCUUUACUUUAUAACAGUAGAAACAAUGUAAAACAGCAGGGACAACAACCAGUGGAACAGCUUCGCGAAGCAGAAACAACGAAACACUUGAAACAGUUCAAAAACAGUUCACGCGCGCAAGCGGCCCACAAAGCCCGCCAGUCAGCUGCCCCUGUGCGAAGCCGCAACUAGUUGACGCAGAAUGCGUCACAUAGGAGUUCCCAGGGAAAGGAGAGCACGAGGGAUCAAUCCCUGGAGCUCCAGGAAGAUAGUGAGCGCUGCUAGCCACCGCGCCCACCUACUGUCCGUGUUAAGUAACGGGGCGCGGCCUACUUGAAGUGAGUCGAGCCUAUUUUAUUAUUAUUUUAUCUUUGUAUCUUUUUGUUUUCUUUCUAUCCAAGGUUUUCGUUUUCUUUAUUCUAGUUUCAUUGUUUCUUUGGUUUAUUUUAUUUCCUUUUUAGUUUUCUUUGUUUCUUUUGGUUUUCAUUCUAUAUCUUUUGUAUAUGUCAACAACAUUUUCCUAAUUCAUGUUUAACAUUUUUGCAAGACAAAUUUAAUUUUUUCAUACAUGGUCAACAUUUUUAUUUACAUUUUAAGAGCAUCUCUAGCAGUCCUCGUAAAACAAUGACCCGCAAAACUCGUUUAUAGUUAGCGAAAAAACAGUUUUGCGGGCCGUCGCGGGCUGCGGUCGAACAGACCCUGUGUACCCGACCCGUAAAACAACAUAUUUUACGGGUCGACUACCCGGGGUCAAUAUGUUGUUUUACGAGUCGGCUACGCGGGGUCUGCUCAGUCGCAGCCCGUGUUGGCCCGCAAACCGAAACCCCCAGAUUAGCCAAUUUGAUAGCGAAUUCGAUGAUUGAGUCCAAAUUCGAAGAAUAAAACAUAGUUCGUGCGCAAAUAAAAGCAUAGUUUUUUACGACAAACGUAAAAGGACUUCAUGCAAAAGCAACGACCACGUCCAUCAUCAUCUUGGUCGCUUUUUACCCAUCGUCAUGAUCUUCACUUCCCACCACCGCCAUCGAUGUCAUUGCCGCCUCCGAGUCUAUCACCGGCACUUGUUCCAACUCCGGCACCGAAAGCAUCGGCGCACUGAAAGCAUCAGUGACACUAGUUCCAACUCCUGAUGGGAAAACAUCACUAUUUCCAAAUCAGUCAUCACAACAACACACAUCUAAAUGCAUAUCAAAUGUUUUUUAAAAUACUCAUAUCUUAUAAACCGCAACUCCAAAUUUAUUAUGUUAUAUAUGGAAUUUGAUUAAUAGAAUAUAUAUAAUCUGAAUAUGAUGUUAUUCUACCUGUUAACCAUUAAAAAAAUACUAUCUAGGGUGCAAUCUUAAUCAAUAGUGCAUUAUCCGUCUUUCUUUCAUAUCGGUAUUGAUUCGGAUUGUGGAUGAACAUCUUAGCAAAAUCAGGAUUUAUGCAUUCUUAGUUCGUUAUGCUAUUAUAUAAAAAAACCCCUGAUGUUUCUGACAUUAAACCCGCAAUACAUAUUAAAUGUUUUUUUAAAAUACUCAUAUCUUCUAAACCGCAACUCCAAAUUUAUUAUGUUAUAUAUGAAAUUUGAUUAGGAAAAUAUAUAGAAUCUGAAUAUGAUGUUAUUUUACUUGUUAACCAUUUAAAGAAAUUACUAUCUGGGGUGCAAUCUUAAUCAAUAGUGCAUUAUCCGUCUUUCUUUCAUAUUGGUACUGAUUCGGACUAUGGAUGAACAUCUUAGCAAAAUCAGGAUUGAAGACGAAAUUGAAGAUCACUUGCCCGUUUCUUUGUACGUAUUAAAUCUACAUACAUGUCGUGUUGAAAUAGAAGACAUGUGAAAUCUUGAACUUGUGCUUUUGUAGGUAAAAACCAUCUUUGUUUGGACCGUAGCUACCAAUACUCAGAUGAUAGACCAUUUUUUGUAAAUUAAGAGCAUGUGGUAUUCUUUUCUCCCGUGGCAACGCACGGGCCCUUUUAGUAGCAGCUAUGAAGUGUUAUUAGACACUCUCUAAACUAGAUGAAGACUAGAAUGAGAUCAGGGCUUCAUAUGCGAUCAUGCGAUCUAGCACUUGGGCCAUCAGAUGGUUCUCGUACUGUACAGAUGAUGUGGUGGGCUUGGAUGACAAGUUAUACAUUCAGUCCCCUGGGCUCUCGUAAGGCUCUCGUAAUAUUGCAUUUAGCAGCUCUCUCACUUGAUUUUGUAGCUCAUGGAAUGUAGAAAAAUAUAUAAAAUACAAAUAAGAAACUCUCUCUCGCUAUAGAGAGGAAUAUCUCCAGGUGUGCCAUAUUUCCCAAUGCACUUUUCGAUAAAGGAUGGAUUUUAUAAACUCAAACUGAAGCAUCCAGUAGAUACAAAGCAUGAUGAACACACACGUGGCCUCUGCAUAGUGAUACGUCUCCAACGUAUGUAUAAUUUUUGGUUGCUCCAUGCUAUAUUAUCUACUGUUUUAGACAUUACUGGGCUUUAUUAUCCACUUUUAUAUUAUUUUUGGGACUAAUCUAUUAACCGGCGGCCCAUCCCAGAAUUGUUGUUUUUUUGCCUGUUUUAGGGUUUCGAAGAAAAGGAAUAUCAAACGAACUCCAAACGGAAUGAAACCUUCGGGAACGUGAUUUUCUCAACAGAUAAGACUCGGGAGACUUGGACCGUACGCCAAGACACGUAACAGGAGGGCACGAGGUAGGGGGGCGCGCCCGCCCCCACCAGGCGCGCCCUCCACCCUCGUGCCCCCUGUUGCUCCACCAACGUACUCCUUCCUCCUAUAUAUAUCCAUGUACCCCCAAACGAUCGGAACAGGAGCCAAAACCCUAAUUCCAUCGCCGUAACUUUCUGUAUCCAUGAGAUCCCAUCUUGGGGCCUGUUCCAGAGCUCCACCGGAGGGGGCAUCGAUCAUGGAGGGCUUCUGCAUCAACACCAUAGCCUCUCCGAUGAAGUGUGAGUAGUUCACCUUAGACCUACGGGUCCAUAGCUAGUAGCUAGUUGGCUUCUUCUCUCUUUUUGGAUCUCAAUACAAUGUUCUCCCCCUCUCUUGUGGAGAUCUAUUCGAUGUAAUCUUCUUUUUGCGGUGUGUUUGUUGAGACCGAUGAAUUGUGGGUUUAUGAUCAAGUCUAUCUAUGAAUAAUAUUUGAAUCUUCUCUGAAUUCUUUUAUGUAUGAUUGGUUAUCUUUGCAAGUCUCUUCGAAUUAUCAGUUUGGUUUGACCUACUAGAUUGAUCUUUCUUGCAAUGGGAGAAGUGCUUAGCUUUGGGUUCAAUCUUGCGGUGUCCUUUCCCGGUGAUAGUAAGGGCAGCAAGGCACGUAUUGUAUUGUUGCCAUCGAGGAUAACAAGAUGGGGUUUUCUUCAUAUUGCAUGAGUCUAUCCCUCUACAUCAUGUCAUCUUGCUUAAUGCGUUACUCUGUUUUUAACUUAAUACUCUAGAUGCAUGCUGGAUAGCGGUCGAUGAGUGGGGUAAUAGUAGUAGAUGCAGGCAGGAGUCGGUCUACUUGUCUCGGACGUGAUGCCUAUAUACAUGAUCAUACCUAGAUAUUCUCAUAACUAUGCUCAAUUCUGUCAAUUGCUCAACAGUAAUUUGUUCACCCACCGUAGAAUACUUAUGCUCUCGAGAGAAGCCACUAGUGAAACCUAUGGCCCCCGGGUCUAUCUUUAUCAUAUUGAUCUCCUACUACUUAGUUAUUUCCUUUGCUAUUUCCUUUGCCUUUAUUUUACUUUGCAUCUUUAUCAUAAAAAUACCAAAAAUAUUAUCUUAUCAUAUCUAGCAGAUCUCACUCUCGUAAGUGGCCCUAUAGGGAUUGACAACCCCUAUUUGCGUUGGCUGCGAGGAUUUAUUUGUUUUGUGCAGGUGCGAGGGACUCGCGCGUAGCCUCCUACUGGAUUGAUACCUUGGUUCUCAAAAACUAAGGGAAAUACUUACGCUACUUUGCUGCAUCAUCCCUUCCUCUUCAGGGAAAACCAACACAGUGCUCAAGAGGUAGCUAGAAGGAUUUCUGGCGCCGUUGCCGGGGAGGUCUACGCAAAAGUCAACAUACCAAGUACCCAUCACAUACCCUUAUCUCCCGCAUUACAUUAUUUGCCAUUUGCCUCUCGUUUUCCUCUCCCCCACUUCACCCAUGCCAUUUUAUUCGCCCUCUCUUUCUCUCUAUCCUCCCUCUCUUUCUCUAUUUGCCUCUUUUUGCCAGCUUGCUUUUUGUUUGUUUGUGUGUUAGUUUGCUUGCUUGUCACGAUGGCUCAAGAUAAUACUAAAUUGUGUGACUUCACCAAUACCAACAACAGUGAUUUUAUUAGCACUCCGAUUGCUCCUCUUACCGAUGCUGAAUCUUGUGAAAUUAAUGCUGCUUUGCUGAAUCUUGUCAUGAAAGAUCCGUUCUCCGGCCUUCCUAGUGAAGAUGCCGCUACCCAUCUAAGUAGCUUCGUUGAUUUGUGUGACAUGCAAAAGAAGAAAGAUGUGGAUAAUGAUAUUGUUAAAUUGAAGCUAUUUCCUUUUUCGCUUAGAGAUCAUGCUAAAGCUUGGUUUUCGUCUUUGCCUAAAAAUAGUAUUGAUUCAUGGAACAAGUGCAAAGAUGCUUUUAUCUCUAAGUAUUUUCCUCCCGCUAAGAUCAUCUCUCUUAGAAAUGAUAUUAUGAAUUUUAAGCAACUUGAUCAUGAACAUGUUGCACAAUCUUGGGAGAGAAUGAAAUUAAUGAUACGUAAUUGCCCUACUCAUGGUUUAAAUUUGUGGAUGAUUAUACAAAAUUUUUAUGCCGGAUUGAAUUUUGCUUCUAGAAAUCUUUUAGAUUCAGCCGCGGGAGGCGCUUUUAUGGAAAUCACUUUAGGAGAAGCUACUAAACUCCUAGAUAAUAUUAUGAUUAAUUAUUCUCAAUGGCAUACUGAAAGAUCUACUAAUAAAAAGGUGCAUGCGAUAGAAGAAAUUAAUGUUUUGAGUGGAAAGAUGGAUGAACUUAUAAAAUUAUUUGCUAAUAAGAGUGUUUCUUAUGAUCCUAAUGAUAUGCCCUUGUCUACUUUGAUUGAGAAUAAUAAUGAAUCUAUGGAUGUGAAUUUUGUUGGUAGGAACAAUUUUGGUAACAACGCGUAUAGAGGAAAUUUCAAUCCCAGGCCUUACCCUAGUAAUCCCUCUAAUAAUUAUGGUAAUUCCUACAACAAUUCUUAUGGAAAUUAUAAUAAGAUGCCCUCUGAUUUUGAAUCUAAUAUUAAAGAAUUUAUUACUUCGCAAAAGAAUUUUAAUGCUAUGAUUGAAGAAAAAUUGCUUAAGAUUGAUGAUUUGGCUAGGAACGUUGAUAGAAUUGCUCUUGAUGUUGAUUCUUUGAAACUUAGAUCUAUUCCACCUAAGCAUGAUAUCAAUGAGUCUCUCAAAGCCAUGAGAAUUUCCAUUGAUGAGUGCAAAGAAAGAACUGCUAGGAUGCGUGCUAAGAAAGAUGCCUUUAUAAGCGCGUGUUCUUCUAGUUCCUAUGAAAAUAAAGAUGAAGAUCUAAAAGUUUUUGAUGUGUACCCUAUUAAAUCUUUGUUUUGAAAUAUGAAUCUUGAUAAUGUUGGGACUGAAUAUGAUCCACCUUUACCUAGAAGGCGUUCCAAGAAUUCGGAAUUUGUUGAUCUUGAUGCUAAAUUUGAUAAAAGUGGGAUUGGAGAAAUUAAAACCCUAGAUGUUGCUAAACCCACUAUUAUGGAUUUCAAGGAAUUUAACUAUGAAAAUUGCUCUUUGAUUGAUUGUAUUUCCUUGUUGCAAUCCGUGCUAAAUUCUCCUCAUGCUUAUAGUCAAAAUAAAGCAUUUACUAAACAUAUCGUUGAUGCCUUGAUGCAAUCUUAUGAAGAAAAACUUGAAUUGGAAGUUUCUAUCCCUAGAAAACUUUAUGAUGAGUGGGAACCAACUAUUAGAAUUAAAAUUAAAGAUCAUGAAUGCUAUGCUUUAUGUGAUUUGGGUGCUAGUGUUUCCACGAUUCCAAAGACUUUGCGUGAUUUGUUAGGUUUCCGUGAUUUUGAUGAUUGCUCUCUAAACUUGCACCUUGCAAAUUCCACUAUUAAGAAACCUAUGGGAAGAAUUAAUGAUGUUCUUAUUGUUGCAAAUAUGAAUUAUGUGCCCGUAGAUUUUAUUGUUCUUGACAUAGAUUGCAAUCCUUCAUGUCCUAUUAUUCUUGGUAGACCUUUCCUUAGAACGAUUGGUGUAAUUAUUGAUAUGAAGGAAGGAAAUAUUAGAUUCCAAUUUCCAUUAAGGAAAGGCAUGGAACACUUUCCUAGAAAUAAAAUUAAAUUACCUUAUGAAUCUAUUAUGAUAUCCACUUAUGGAUUGCCUACCAAAGAUGGCAAUACCUAGAUCUAUUCUAGCUUGUUAUGCCUAGCUAGGGGCGUUAAAACGAUAGCGCCUGUUGGGAGGCAACCCAAUUUUAUUUUUAUUUCUUGCUUUUUGCUCCUGUUUAGUAAUAAACAAUUUAUUUAGCCUCUGUUUUGGUUGUGUUUUUUUGUUUAAUUAGUGUUUAUCCCAAGUAGAACCGUUGGGAAGACUUGGGGAAAGUCCUGUUCAAAAUUCCUCACGUCCAGCAAUUUAUUUUCGAAUUUUUGGGAAGUGCUAUUUAGUUAAUUAUUUUUGCAGAUGAUUAAUAGAUAAAUUCCUCACGUCCAGCAAUUUAUUUUCGAAUUUUUGGGGUUCCAGAUCUUGCGCUAGCUACAGAUUACUACAGACUGUUCUGUUUUUGACAGAUUCUGUUUUUCGUGUGUUGUUUGCUUAUUUUGAUGAAUCUAUGGCUAGUAAAAUAGUUUAUAAACCAUAGAGAAGUUGGAAUACAGUAGGUAUAACACCAAUAUAAAUAAAUAAUGAGUUCAUUACAGUACCUUGAAGUGAUCUUUUAUUUUCUUUCGCUAACGGAGCUCACGAGGUUUUCUACUUUAAGUUUUGUGUUGUGAAGUUUUCAAGAUUUGGGUAAAGAUUUGAUGGAUUAUGGAACAAGGAGUGGCAAGAGCCUAAGCUUGGGGGUUCCCAUGGCGCCCUCAAGAUAAUCUAAGGACACCUAAAAGCCAAAUCUUGGGGAUGCCCCGGAAGGUAUCCCCUCUUUCGUCUACUUCUAUCGGUAACUUUACUUGGAGCUAUAUUUUUAUUUACCACAUGAUAUGUGUAUUGCUUGAAGCGUCUUGUAUGAUUUGGGUCUUUGCUUUUUAGUUUACCACAAUAAUCCUUGAUGUACACACCUUUUGAGAGAGCCAUACAUGAUUUCGAAUUUGUUAGAAUACUCUAUGUGCUUCGCUUAUAUCUCUUGAGUUAUAUAAUUUUGCUCUAGUACUUCACUUAUAUCUUUCAGAGCACGGUGGUGGAUUUGUUUUACAGAAACUAUUGAUCUCUCAUGCUUCACUUAGAUUAUUUUGAGAGCCUUAAUAGCAUGGUAAUUUGCUUUAAAUCCUAAUAUGCUAGGUAUUCAAGAAUAAAGAAAUUCUCUUAUGAGUGUGUUGAAUACUAUGAUAAGUUUGAUACUUGAUAAUUAUUUUGAGAUAUGAAGAUGGUGAUAUUAAAGUCAUGCUAGUUGAGUAGUUGUGAAUUUGAGAAAUACUUGUGUUGAUGCUUGUGAUUCCCGUAGCAUGCACGUAUGGUGAACCGUUAUGUGAUGAAGUCGGAGCAUGAUUUAUUUUUUUAUUGCCUUCCUUAUGAGUGGCGGUCGGGGACGAGCGAUGGUCUUUUCCUACCAAUCUAUGCCCCUAGGAGCAUGCGCGUAAUACUUUGCUUUGAUAACUUGUAGAUUUUUGCAAUAAGUAUGUGAGUUCUUUAUGACUAAUGUUGAGUCCAUGGAUUAUACGCACUCUCACCCUUCCACCUUUGCUAGCCUCUCUAAUACCGCACACCUUUCGGCGGUAUCAUACACCCACCAUAUACCUUCCUCAAAACAGCCACCAUACCUACCUAUUAUGGCAUUUCCAUAGCCAUUCCGAGAUAUAUUGCCAUGCAACUUUCCACCGUUCCGUUUAUUAUGACACCCCCCAUCAUUGCCAUAUUGCUUAGCAUGAUCAUGUAGUUGACAUCGUAUUUGUGGCAAAGCCACCAUUCAUAAUUCUUUCAUACAUGUCACUCAUGUAUCAUUGCAUAUCCUGGUACACCGUCGGAGGCAUUCAUAUAGAGUCAUAUUUUGUUCUAAGUAUCGAGUUGUAAUUCUUGAGUUGUAAGAAAAAUAAAAGUGUGAUGAUCAUCAUCAUUAGAGCAUUGUCCCAGUGAGGAAAGUAUGAUGGAGACUAUGAUUCCCCCACAAGUCGGGAUGAGACUCCGGACGAAAAAAAGAAAAGAGGCCACAAAAAAAGAGAGAAAAGGCCCAAAUAAAAAAAUGAGAGAAAAAGAGAGAAGGGACAAUGUUACUAUCCUUUUACCACACUUGUGCUUCAAAGUAGCACCAUGAUCUUCAUAGUAGAGAGUCUCUCAUGUUAUCACUUUCAUAUACUAGUGGGAAUCUUUCAUUAUAGAACUUGGCUUGUAUAUUCCAAUGAUGGGCUUCCUCAAAAUGCCCUAGGUCUUCAUGAGCAAGAAAGUUGGAUGCACACCCACUUAGUUUCUUUUUGAGCUUUCAUAUACUUAUAGCUCUAGUGCAUCCGUUGCAUGGCAAUCCCUACUCACUCACAUUGAUAUCUAUUGAUGGGCAUCUCCAUAGCCCAUUGAUACGCCUAGUUGAUGUGAGACUAUCUUCUCCCUUUUUGUCGUCUCCACAACCACUGUUCUAUUCCACCUAUAGUGCUAUAUCCAUGGCUCACGCUCAUGUAUUGCGUGAAGAUUGAAAAAGUUUUGAGAAUGUCAAAAGUAUGAAACAAUUGCUUGGCUUGUCAUUGGGGUUGUGCAUGAUUUAAAUAUUUUGUGUGGUGAAGAUGGAGCAUAGCCAGACUAUAUGAUUUUGUAGGGAUAACUUUCUUUAGCCAUGUUAUUUUGAGAAGACAUAAUUGCUUUGUUAGUAUGCUUGAAGUAUUAUUUUUUUUAUGUCAAUAUCAACUUUUGUCUUGAAUCUUUUGAAUCUGAAUAUUUAUACCACAAUUAAGAAGAAUUACAUUAAAAUUAUGCCAAGUAGCACUCCGCAUCUAAAAUUCUGUUUUUAUCAUUUACCUACUCGAGGACGAGAAGGAAUUAAGCUUGGGGAUGCUUGAUACGUCUCCAACGUAUCUAUAAUUUUUGGUUGCUCCAUGCUAUAUUAUCUACUGUUUUGGACAUGAUUAGGCUUUAUUAUCCACUUUUAUAUUAUUUUUGGGACUAACCUAUUAACCGGAGGCCCAGCCCGGAAUUGCUGCUUUUUGCCUGUUUUAGGGUUUCGAAGAAAAGGAAUAUCAAACGGACUCCAAACGGAAUGAAAUCUUCGGGAACGUGAUUUUCUCAACAGAUAAGACCCGGGAGACUUGGACCCUACGUCAAGACACGUAACAGGAGGGCACGAGGUAGGGGGCGCGCCCACCCCCACUAGGCGCCCCCUCCACCCUCGUGGGCCCCCUGUUGCUCCACCGACGUACUCCUUCCUCCUAUAUAUAUCCACGUACCCCCAAACGAUCAGAACAGGAGCCAAAACCCUAAUUCCACCGCCAUAACUUUCUGUAUCCACGAGAUCCCAUCUUGGGGCCUGUUCCAGAGCUCCGCUGGAGGGGGCAUCGAUCACAGAGGGCUUCUACAUCAACACCAUAGCCUCUCCGAUGAAGUGUGAGUAGUUCACCUCAGACCUACCGGUCCAUAGCUAGUAGCUAGUUGGCUUCUUCUCUCUUUUUGGAUCUCAAUACAAUGUUCUCCCCCUCUCUUGUGGAGAUCUAUUCGAUGUAAUCUUCUUUUUGCGGUGUGUUUGUUGAGACCGAUGAAUUGUGGGUUUAUGAUCAAGUCCAUCUAUGAAUAAUAUUUGAAUCUUCUCUGAAUUCUUUUAUGUAUGAUUGGUUAUCUUUGCAAAUCUCUUCGAAUUAUCAGUUUGGUUUGGCCUACUAGAUUGAUCUUUCUUGCAAUGGGAGAAGUGCUUAGCUUUGGGUUCAAUCUUGCGGUGUCCUUUCCCGGUGACAGUAAGGGCAACAGGGCACGUAUGGUAUUGUUGCCAUCAAGGAUAACAAGAUGGGGUUUUCUUCAUAUUGCAUGAGUCUAUCCCUCUACAUCAUGUCAUCUUGCUUAAGGCGUUACUCUGUUUUUAACUUAAUACUCUAGAUGCAUGCUGGAUAGCGGUUGAUGAGUGGAGUAAUAGUAGUAGAAGCAGGCAGGAGUCGGUCUACUUGUCUCGGACGUGAUGCCUAUAUACAUGGUCAUACCUAGAUAUUCUCAUAACUAUGCUCAAUUCUGUCAAUUGCUCAACAGUAAUUUGUUCACCCAUCGUAGAAUACUUAUGCUCUCGAGAGAAGCCACUAGUGAAACCUAUGGCCCCCCGGGUCUAUCUUUACCAUAUUGAUCUCCUACUACUUAGUUAUUUCCUUUGCUAUUUCCUUUGCCUUUAUUUUACUUUGCAUCUUUAUCAUAAAAAUACCAAAAAUAUUACCUUAUCAUAUCUAUUAGAUCUCACUCUCGUAAGUGGCCCUAUAGGGAUUGACAACCCCUAUUUGUGUUGGUUGCGAGGAUUUAUUUGUUUUGUGCAGGUGUGAGGGACUCGCGCGUAGCCUCCUACUGGAUUGAUACCUUGGUUCUCAAAAACUGAGGGAAAUACUUACACUACUUUGCUGCAUCAUCCCUUCCUCUUCGGGGAAAACCAACGCAGUGCUCAAGAGGUAGCACAUAGCUAGGAUGCACACAGGCAACAUCAACACACGCACACAAAAAACACACGCUGGGAAAUAGCAAAGUCAUACAAGACCAAAUCUAUGCCUAAGAGAAAAAAGCCAAAGCGAUCAUAACAACGAUCAACAAACUACAACAAUGACCAUAUCCGCACCAUCCAUCUUUUGACACCACAAGGAAAAAAAUGUUCUUCAACAACAACGCCUUCAGGAAGGGACUGACGCACCAACGCCAUCGUCGCCGGAUCCAACCGCGAGAGGUGAAGGAAAUAUGCCCUAAAAGCAAUAAUAAAGUUAUUAUUUAUUUCCUUAUAUCAUGAUAAAUGUUUAUUAUUCAUGCUAGAAUUGUAUUAACCGGAAACUUAGUACAUGUGUGAAUGCAUAGACAAACAGAGUGUCACUAGUUUGCCUCUACUUGACUAGCUCGUUGAAUCAAUGAUGGUUAUGUUUCCUAACCAUAGACAUGAGUUGUCAUUUGAUUAACGGGAUCACAUCAUUAGAGAAUGAUGUGAUUGACUUGACCCAUCCGUUAGCUUAGCACGAUGAUCGUUUAGUUUGUUGCUAUUGCUUUCACCAUAACUAUACAUGUUCCUAUGACUAUGAGAUCAUGCAACUCCCGAAUACCGGAGGAACACUUUGUAUGCUACCAAACGUCACAACGUAUCUGGGUGAUUAUAAAGGUGCUCUACAGGUGUCUCCGAUGGUAUUUGUUGAGUUGGUAUGGAUCAAGAUUAGGAUUUGUCACUCCAAUUGUCGGAGAGGUAUCUCUGGGCCCUCUCGGUAAUGCACAUCACUAUAAGCCUUGCAAGCAGUGUGACUAAUGAGUUAGUUGCGGGAUGAUGCAUUACGGAACGAGUAAAGAGACUUGCCGGAACGAGAUUGAACUAGGUAUUGAGAUACCGAUGAUCGAAUCUCGGGCAAGUAACAUACCGAUGACAAAGGGAACAAUGUAUAUGUAACAUCCCCAGCAUCACACUACUGUAAUCCCUUAUGAUCAGUGCCAAGUCAUCUUGAUUUAUGAAGCUUAACCAUGUUGGGAUAAUAUCUCAUUUCAAAUUCCUUCUCUGAAUUCCAUUCAAAUAAAAAAAUGCAAAAUGAAGUUGAUCAAAACUUGUUGGAAAAAUGUUCACCUUUUAGCAAAUAAUCCAAAACUAUUUACUGUUAAGGAACACAACAUCAUCAUCAACUCUAAAUGGGCCUAAUGCAUUUUAACAGAGCAAAAAUAGCCUUUAAAAUGCCCUUUUCUUUAUUGUGUAAAUUCAAAUGAACUCCAAAAAUGCCCAAACUUUUGGUGGCAGUGCUGGAUAUUGCAAAGUAAUUAUGUGACCAAGUUUCACAUUUUUGCAAAAUCUUAUGGAAGCUCAAAAUAUUACUAAACCCCUUUCUGUAAAAAGAAAAUAAAAAAAGGCCACUAUGCACUGGCCUAAGUGCAUAGUGCCUAGAGCCCAGCCCACCACAGCCUCCUCCUCCUCCUCCCCCAUGUUCUCUGUUGAAGCGACCGAGGCACGCCCGCCGUCGCCGCUGAACCCACCUCGCCGACCUCGCCGCUACAGGCGCCGCGGGUGGAUAAAGAUCCACCUCUCCUCCCCCUGGCCUCCUCAUCCAUUCGCCCCCUCCUCGCUCUCCCUCGUUCACCCCUCUUCUGCUCUGUCUCGUUCGCCCGUGCACGGUCAUCGACGCGCCGCCGUCGAUCCCGCGGCCACCGCCUCCCGAUCGCCUCGCUGACGCGCCCUACCGCUCUGCCUCGCUCGGCUGCCUCGACUACACCUCGUCAUCGAGCUCGGGAACGACCGCACGCUCGGGAUCGACCUCACCUCUCCUUCUCGGUUGCCGGCGCUCGCCGUCAUCUCCGUCCAAUGCAGCUGCUCCUAAGCUUGCACGGGCCUUUCUUGGCCGCACGGUGAGCUCCUUCCUUCCUCCUUUCCUCUCCUCGCGCCGUGCAUUUCGCCGUAGCUAGUUCGCUGCCGUUGCCGUGCCUCUGCUUCCUCCGGCGUGCUUGUAGCCGUGUCGUUGCUACCCGUCGAGCUCAGAUGAGCUCGGGAUCGUGCUCGGCACGUCUGUGCGGGCCCGUUGCACCCCACCCUCAUGCUUUGUCGAGCCCCGUAGCGCCGACCCCGUGCUUCGACCGGAUGCGCCUCCGCAUAGCUCGUUGCCGGCGUCAUUCCGGUGACCUUUCGGUCUUUUGCUCGCGCCCAUCUUGCUCGCGCGUGCACGUAGGCCUCACCCCGCUCUCUGGAUAACCCGAACUCGCGUCGUACCACUGCUGUCGUUGCUCGCCCGAAGCACCUCACCGCCGACGAGCUCGAAUCGCUCGCCCCCGUCCGUUCCAGCCACUCUGGCCACCACCGUUCGAUGCGUGACGUCGAGCCGCGUCGAAUGCGCCCAGCCACAACCCCGCAGACCCCCUGUGCGCGAAAUCCGCGCCCCUCCCGAGCCGCGCCGCCGCGUUUGGCUCGCUGGAGUCAACUCCGGCGCGUCUCUGGCCGGUUUCCGACGUGGCGUCCACAUGGCACCACCUGGGCCACUGACUGGUGGGCCCAGGGGCCCCCUUUGACCUGUUGACUUGGGUCAACGCUGAUGUGGCCGCCCCUAGUGCCACUGACAUGUGGGCCCGGUGCUAAUUAAACAGGUUUUAUAAAUAAAAAAUGCUAAUUAAUCUAUUAAUUAGUUUAAUCACUAAUUAGUCGCUGACUAAUGGGGCCCACACCCCUAACUACUACUGUUAGUCAAAUUAAUCCACUGUUAACCCGCAGAGGCUGACAUGUGGGUCCCGGAGGCCCCACUGGUCAGGUUUGACUUGGUUAGUGCAGCUAUUGACUGAUGACGUCACUAUGAUGUCAUGCUAAUGCAAUAUUCCAUUUCUGUUACUAUAAAUAAAUCCAGAAAAUGUUUUAAUCUUUGAAAAAUCAUAGAAAAUAAAACGUACCUCGGACAAAAAAGUUUUAUACAUGAAAGUUACUCAGAAUGACGAGACGAACCCGAAUACACGGUCCAUUCAUCUGUCACAUGCCCCUAGCAUGCUGAACAUGGAACUUUCCCCCUCCGGUCAUUUGUCUAACACAGGUCCGGAACCGGGAAAACAUUCCCGGUUGAAUUCCCCCUUCACCUAUAUCGUGUAGCCCUACGUUAGGUCAACCCUAGCUCUGCCUAUCGUCAUGUAAUGCUUAGUGGUACCUUUGUUUGCUUUGUAUUUACUGUUUCUUCCCCCUCUUCUCUCCGGUAGACCCCGAGACCGAUGCCGCCCCUGUGAUCGGCUACGUUGACGACACUUCUUCCUUUACAGCAGAGCUUCCAGGCAAGAAAACCCCCCUUGAGCAUUCCGAUAUCGCCCAUUUCUUUCCCUCCCAUGCUUGCAUUAGAACUGCUACUGCUUUCUGCAUGAUCCUACUCUGAUGCAUAGCCUGUUGUUGUUACCUGCUUUCAUACCUUACCUACUUAUCCUAAACUACUUAGUAUAGGUUGGUUCGAGAUCCAUCAGUGACCCCACCUUGUCCCAGUUGCCUUGCUUUAUGUUCGAUGACUCGAUCAACGUGAUCGACGUCCAGGCCCCGACACCGCACAUCACCCCCCUAGUUGUACGACUCUGCAGAGUUACCAUCGAGUGCCGAGGGUGGAAUCUCUUACAUCACUCCUGAUGAGAUCUCCGUAGUGUAGCUAUACGGUCGAGGUCAUCGAGGGUGAUUUCCUUCUUAACCACUUCCGUUACAGCUCUGUCGUGCAACCGAUCAAACGUGAACCUCGAGGGUGGAUCCUCUUACGUUCACCUUGAUGACAACAUCGAGUGGAAUUCACCGGGGGUGAUUCCUCAGGUUUUCCCUUUGGUGUUAGACACACAGUUACUACGGUUACUAUGACUUUACACUGAACCAUGUUACUAAAGACGGGUCGACCCUGAGGGGUACCCGCGCGAGCUUAAUAGCGAGUGAUGUGGAGUCGGGUUGACCUGGAAGGUGCCCGCGAGAUACUUACGAGGCGUGGACGGGCAUUCUUAGCCCUUGCCGCAAGUACUCGAGACGGGGAGACGGGGUCACAUCGAUCGUGAGUCUCUGCUCGUUACCGCGCGUUCCUAUUCCACUACGAUUUGGAUAUUUGAUCCGAGGGGCCUCUGGCCUGAUAGCACUAACCAUCACGUGGGCAUAGUAUGGGCGUUCUGUGUCGUAUACAUCAGCCGAAGCUUAAUAGACGUCAGCGACUGAGCGGCUCGCGCCGGGUUGGACUGGUAAGCACAUACCUUGUUGAAGGAGGUAGCUAGGUCUGCUCACCGGCCGCGUACGCAACAUGCAGGAGUUCCUGGGGAGAUGGCCCAUGACCCCUGGGGGCAUAGGUUUAGACCGGCGUGCUGGCCUCUAUAUCCUAGGUCGGGUUGCGGCGUAUUGUUUGGUCGAGGCCGGGCAUGACCCAGGAAAGUGUGUCCGGCCGGAGUUAAUCGAGCGUGGUGGGUAAGUUGGUGCACCCCUGCAGGGAAGAAAACAUCUAUCGAUAGCCUGUCCUACGGUAACGGACACUUGGAGUUGUAUCACGAUCGAUACAACUAGAACUGGAUACUUGUGAUGAGAACUGGAUGGUGAUGAGAAUUGGAUUGUGGUGAUAACUGUAUAGUAUGGCUCUGGGAUUGCUUUCUCGCAGGGAGUCAAGAGAGGAUCUCUGGCCGAUGUUGAUAACACUACUGCUACUUUACUUUAUGCUACUCUACUCCCUCCUGUUGUUGCAAGAUGGUGGUUUCCAGAAGAUGCUAGUCUUCGAUAGGCUAGGCUCUCCCCUUCCCUUCUGGCAUUCUGCAGUUUAGUCCACAGAUACAACCCAUUCCUUUGAUACAGAUGCAUACUUAGUUUAGAUCUAAUGUAAGUAUUGCGAGUACUUUGGAUCAGUACUCACGGUUGCUUUGCUACUUCUUUUUCCCCCAUACCCGAUUGUUGCGACCAGAUGACGGAUCCAAGGAGCCAGACGACGCCACUGAUGACCACUACUACCCGGAGGAUGACUACUACUACGUGAAGACCGCAGACGACUAGGAGUAGUUAGGAGGCUCCCAGGCAGGAGGCCCUGCCUUUUCGAUCGUUGUUGUUUUUGUGCUAGCCUUCUUAAGGUAAACUUGUUUAACUUAUGUCUGUACUCAGAUAUUGAUGCUUCCGCUGACUUUUGUGUAUUCGAGCUUAUGUAUUCGAGCCCUCGAGGCCCCUGGCUUGUAAUAUAAAGCUUGUAUUAUUUUAAUUUGUGUCUAGAAUUGUGUUAUGAUAUCUUCCCGUGAGUUCUUGAUCUUGAUCAUACACAAUUGCGUGUAUGAUUAGUGUACGAUUGAAUCGAGGGCGUCACAGUAUACCGUUAUGCGGUUUGACCGAUAAAGAUCUUCGUAGAAUAUGUAGGAACCAAUAUGAGCAUCCAGGUUCCGCUAUUGGUUAUUGGCCGGAGAUGAGUCCCGGUCAUGUCUACAUAGUUCUCGAACCCGUAGGGUCCGCACGCUUAAAGUUCAAUGACGAUCGGUAUUAUGAGUUUAUGUGUUUUGAUGUACUGAAGGUUGUUCGGAGCCCCGGAUGAGAUCAGGGACAUGACGAGGAGUCUGGAAAUAUUUGAGACGUAAAGAUCGAUAUAUUGGAAGGCUAUAUUCGGACAUCGGAAAGGUUCUGAGUGGUUCGGGUAUUUAUCGGAGUACUAGAGAGUUACGGGAAUUCGCCAGGGAGUAUAUGGGCCUUAUUGGGCUUUUGGGGAAAGAGAGAGGGGAGGCUGCGCGCCCCCCAAGGCCUAGUCCGAAUUGGACUAGGGGAGGGGCGGCGCCCCCUCCUUCCUUCUCUUCUCUUUUUCCUUUCCUUCUCUCCUACUCCUACUACAUGGAAGGGAGGAAAUCCUACUCCCGGUGGGAGUAGGACUCCCCAGGGCGCGCCAUAGUAGAGGGUCGGCCCUCCCCUCCUCCACUCCUUUAUAUACGGGGGAGGGGGGCACCCCAUGGACACACAAGUUGAUCAGUUGAUCUUUUUAGCCAUGUGCGGUGCCCUCCUCCACCAUAAUCCACCUCGGUCAUAUCGUAGCGGUGCUUAAGCGAAGCCUUGCAUCGGUAGCAUCAUCAUCACCGUCAUCACGCCGUCGUGCUGAGGGAACUCUCCCUCGAAGCUCUGCUGGAUCGGAGUUCGUGGGACGUCACCGAGCUGAACGUGUGCUAAACUCGGAGGUGUCGUACGUUCGGUACUUAAAUCGGUCGUAUCGUGAAGACGUACAACUACAUCAACCGCAUUCUCGUAACGCUUCCGCUUAUGGUCUACGAGGGUACGUGGACGACACUCUCCCCUCUCGUUGUUAUGCAUCACCAUGAUCUUGCGUGUGCGUAGGAAAUUUUUGAAAUUACUGCGUUUUGCAACAAGAGGCCAGAAUCUAGGUUUUCACCCUGAAGAACAAGUCCGAGCAUAUCUGAGCAAUGUCUUCAACAAGGUAACUAUGCAGAAAAUGUUGCCAUUGCCUGGCAUAACCAAUUUAGGUCAAACCUAGGGUUUUCACCCAAGAGAUCGAGACGGGAUACUCGAGAAGCACCACCAAAUCUAAGUCAAUCAUGUGUUGACGCCACCAUUUUUCCACGAUCCCAGCAGCUACAUGCGCUGGGCUCUGAAAUCCUACCAGCGUUGCUGCUGCAGAACCAUAUCCUUUGUGUCAAGUCACCGUCCAUAGAUUACAUCUCAUCGCCGAAGGCAGACUGGUUGAAGCGAGAGCCACCAGAACCCAUAAAGGGGGCUUUUGGCUAUAUCCCGCCAGCUCGCCGGUUCGAGUCACCAGCAGCAACCAUCAGAUCCAAAGAGAUAAAUACUCACGAAGACCAUCAAUUGGCCACGACAAUCCGCAUGGCACGGAUGCCCAUAACCAAGUGGAUCGCCACCCGAACCCUGAGCCGCCACAGAGCGCCGAGGCAAGCACGCGCGAGAGAGCAUGAUUCCGCAGCCGCAAGGAUGGUACCACCAGGACUUCAUGCUAGUCAACCCUAGAUAUAUACUGUUGAUGCUUUCUCUCGUCCAGAUCCAUAACAGGGACGCCAUGAUCUGCUGCCGUACAACGCACCGCCGGUCCUCCUCGUGCAAACCAAGCAGUUACAGCCCAUGGUUACCGCAGCAAGAUGGAACGCCGAUGCAAGGAUCACGCUAACACCCCACACGCGCAGGUCUCCAGAUUUGUUUCUUUGCCACUGCAGCUACGUCACGACCACUAGCCCGCGACAACCACCACACAGGAGCAGGGGCAUCAUGAGGACUAGGUAGGAUGCAUGGGAGUGGGCAGGAGUGGCCCCGCCGCCGUCACCGACCAGCCGCCGGCCGCCGGCGACAACAGUGAGGGUAGGGAAGAGGAGGCGGCGCCUAGGGUUAGGGCCGUGGGGUGUCGCCCCGUGAGUCGCCCAUUUCCCAAUGUACUGAAUCCAUUAUCAAGAACAGAAACUUGAGAAUGUUUAUCUCAAAACUUUUUUUGCACAUGCUUGUUUUCAAAACCUGGAAAUUGUACUGCACAACAACAUCAUCUAAGUGUUCUUGCCUAAAAAAGAUCUUCUUUGGCUACAACAAAAAAAAAA
rnacentral:lncRNA from 1 species